GUGGUGCAGGUAGGGCUCCCGCUCCCGCAUGGCCUCCUCGGAGAAGUACUCCCCCUCGCGCACCAGCCGGUCGAGGUACGCCCGGCGCCGGUUGCGCACCCGCGCGGGGGACAGCGUGGCCCCCCCGGAGCGGAGGCGGCGGAGGUGCCAGGCGACCUCGUAGCCGUCGUCUUCGGCGCCAUGGCCGCCCUGGAGCGCGUCGAAGGAGGCGAGCUCGUCGGCGGAGAGCGCGGCGCCGUAGCGCUCGAGGAAGAGCGGCGCGUCGCGGGAGAGGAGGGAGAGGAGCGCCUCCUUGCGGCGCGGCGGGGAGGGGGAGGAGGAGAGGAAGGCGGUGGGGAAGUAGAGCCCGUCGACGGCGGCGAGCCGGGCGGCGAUGCGGUCCAUCGCCGCGGGCUCCAUGGUGGGGCAGUCGGUCGGUCGGCGCCGGAGGGGGUUUGGCCUAGGCGGUUCGGGGGGGUUGUUUGUUGGGCUCUGGAGCUUUUAGCGGGGCUGUGGCUUUGGUCGGUUCGUUUUUCUCGUGGGCCGUGGGCCGCACGCGGUGCUUUGGAUGAAAGAUAUCCAGCAAGGAGGCCCAAGCUGGUGAAAGAAAGAGAGAGAGUCAACGUGCGGUAGAAAAAAAAAAGAGAAUCAACGUUACUCCGUAAUCCUGUACAGUGUACAUUCUGCAAUUCAAUUCAAUGAUUUGGUUUAUCCUGUGCCGUUUUUCCCGUUAGUAAUAGGUCUUGCUCUUGAGGAGAAGCCUACAAUGUGAAAAGAGGAGUGUCUAAUUAGUGUUAAGUUACUUUUAAAUUUGCCAAGAAUCAUAAUUUGAGCCCAUUAGAUCUUCACAUCGACGUACGAAACCGCAGAACAAUAGUCGCCUUGUGUUCGAUGAGAUUUUGUACACUAAUCGCUUCUAGUGGAUUGAAAAAAAUCAAGCAUGGAGUCAACAAGGCGUGGCCCUGUUCAGGUUGCUAUGCACCAUACAUGUACGUGUAUAUGUCAAUGCUCUUGUUUUUUUUUAGCGAAAACAUACGGCCUUUAUUAAUCAAUCAACAAAGAAAUACAAGCAUCGUUCCAUGGCUGAGUGAGCCUGAGUGAGCCAGGUGAAACAGCCGUGCGACAAAGACAAGAAGCUCUUAACAAGACUAUGAGCAUCCAAGUUCGAAGAUCUACCCUCAUGAACAAAGGUGACAUCUAAAAAUUCUCUACUUCGGACAGCAACCUCCCGUAAAAUAGUACUAUAGCUGCACCGAUUACUUUCGAGGAGACCCUUUAUGACGGCUUGGGCAUCAGAAGCAACCCGAACCCGUUGGAUAUUUAAAUCCUUGGCCAAGGCCAGGGCUUCGCAGCAUGCAAGUGCUUCCAACGUUGGCAGAUCAGUUAUCCCGGGGUAGACACGAGCUGACAACCCCUGGUAGCGGCCCAACUUGUCACGGCAAACCGCCGCCACCACCCCUUUGUUCUGAUUCUUGGCAACACCUCCAUCAACGUUGAUCUUGUACAUACCCGCCGGCGGGGAGAGCCAGCGGGGUGCCGUAGGGGGCGGUCCAGCCCUAGCCUGAGCUGGUGUACUAGACUGAGUGAUCAUGGGACUCUGAAAAAUAGACUCGUGAAUUGCCUUCCUUCUCGCCGACCAGAUCGCCCAAAGGGUCAAUAGGAUUUGCGUGAAUUCCGCAUGAGACGUCGUGUCAAUAAGAUGAAACAACCACUCCCGGGCGUCAAGGCAAGAGGAAACACACAUAUACUCAACUAGCUGAUCAUCCGCCAAGGCCCAAACGCACUUCGCCAUUGUACCGUCCAGUAAAGAAUGCCUCCAGGAAUCAUUAGUCGCCCGGCAGAUUGCACACACUGCCGUGUCCUCCAUAUGGUGCUGCUUAAGGACAUCACCCGUGGGAAUCAAACUCUGUGCUAAUCUCCAAGCAAAUACACGCACUUUAGAAGGCACUUUGAUCUUCCACAACUGGGUCCAAGAUCUCUCAGAUUUCAGAGAACUCGACGAUGGCCGCUUCUCAAGCCAGUCCUCACGGACUUUCUUCGUCGAUACUAGCAAACGAUAACAAGAACAGACACUAAAUAUCCUAGAUUUCUCGAAAUGCCAUGCCCAAAAAUCACCAUAAUUCAUCGUGCUCAGUGGAAUCGCGAGAAUAGCCUGCGCAUCCAUCGGCAGAAAUAGCCUCCGCACUAAAUUGAUGUCCCAUUCAUGCACAGUAGGAUUAAUCAACUCCGAUACCUUCACCGGCGAGUCAGACCUUGCAGCCGUAUAGGGAAGACGCCUCUCAUCACGUGGUAUCCAACCAUCAUACCAAAUUGAAGUCGUUUUACCAUCUCCAAUACGCCUGACAAUGCCCAGCUUCAAAACAUCCCAUCCCUCGAUUACAGCCCGCCAGAUCUAAGAUGGCCGUUGUCCCAAGCUAGCCGAAAUCAGAGAGCCCCGAGGAAAGUAGACAGCUCGAAGAAUUCUUGCGCUCAAAGUGGACGGUUGAGCCAGCACCCGCCAAGCUUGUCGCGCAAGCAAAGAGAGGUUAAACAACUCGAUAUCGCGAAAGCCAAGUCCCCCCAUAUACUUUGGCAUGGUCAUGGUGUCCCAUGACACCCAAUGAGGCUUGCGCUUGCCCUGCUUACUUCCCCACCAGAAACUUCGGAUCAUGAAAUUAAUCUUGAGACAUAAACCUCUCGGGAGCUUAAAGCAAGCCAUUGAAUAAGUAGGAACCGCCUGUGCAACAGAUUUAAUCAAGACUUCCUUCCCCCCCGGCAGCGAGCACUUGCUCCAUCCAUCCCUUUACUUUACCCCAAACCCGAUCCUUCAAAUAUUUGAAAGCCCCAUUUUUAGAGUUCCCUACAUCAGUUGGCAUACCAAGAUAUUUAGCAUUUAGAGAUUCAUUAGGCACUUGUAGCAACUCCAUCAUCGCAUGCCUCGUAUCUGCUGGGCAACCCUUACUAAAAUGGAUUGAGCUCUUCUGCCGGUUGAUACGCUGCCCCGAUGCAUUACAAUAAAUAUCCAGAACCUCUGUGAUAGCCUCUGCCCCUGCCACAUUCGCUUUAGCAAAUAGCAAGCUGUCGUCUGCAAAUAAGAGAUGAUUGACCGGGGGAGCUGUGGGCGCCACAACAAUGCCCGACAAAUUUUCCGAAUUCCCCCUGCUCCUUAACAAGCAAGACAAACCUUCAGCUGCUAACAAAAACAAAUAUGGUGAGAUUGGGUCACCCUGACGGAUCCCCCUGGUCGGGCGAAACACACUUGUUCGUUCACCAUUAAACAACACCGAGAAAGAUACAGAGGUCACCACCCUCAUAAUCGAAGAUACCAGCGAUCAGAAAAACCAAGCUUGGCCAUGAUAGCCCAUAAAUAUUCCCAUUCAACUCGGUCAUAGGCCUUCAUCAUGUCGAGCUUCAGAGCACAAUAUUGAGAUCCUCGGGCCCUUUCCUUCUUCAUAAAAUGUAGGCACUCGUACGCUGUUAUAAUAUUAUCUGUGAUAAGGCGCCCCGGAACAAAAGCCGAUUGCUCCUCAAAAAUAAUUUCUGGUAAAAUCUCCUUCAAACGAUUCGCUUGUACCUUGGACACAAGUUCCAAAACCACAUUACAUAAGCUAAUCGGACGAAAUUGAGAUAGAGAUGAUGCACCUGGGACCUCCAGAAUUAAAACAAUAAGGGUGUGAUUCAUAUCAUGCGGCUCUUCAACACCAUUCAAAAUAUUCAGUACCGCCUCCGUCACCUCUUCCCCACACAAAUCCCAAUGUCGCUGAAAAAAUGUGCCGGGAAGCCGUCAGAGCCCGGCGCCUUCGUCGGGUACAUUUGGAACAGCGCCGUUUUGACCUCGUCCGCCUGAUACGGGCGAUCUAGGCGCUCGGCCAUAGUAGCAGUAACCUUCCUGGGUACACAAUUCAGCACACGCUCCAUGCCAGCAACCCCUUCCGAAGUAUAAAUAUUAUUAUAAAAAUUCUCCGUAUGCUCCGCCAUCUCUUGAAAAUCCUCGAUAAACACCCCGUCCAGGAGACAUAAACGCUCAAUAUGAUUUUUCUUCCUACGACCACUUGCCUUUUGAUGGAAAAAACGGGUAUCACUAUCUCCCUCCGCUAACCAUUGAACUCGAGAUCUUUGGCGCCACAUAAUCUCCUCCCGCUGGUUCCACCCCGUGAGCUUGUCAACAAUUGCAAUCUCCCCGCUAGAAGGUCCAGUAUGGCCUGGAAGGGCAUGGAGUCUCUCCAGUUCGGCCAGAAGCUCCCUCGUCUUUUUACGGACACUGCCGAAGAUCUCAUCAUUCCAAGCAAGCAAAAGAUCACCAAAAAAUUUUAAUUUACCAUUUAAUUCUCCCAUAAUGCGGCUCUAACCUGAUUCCUUCCACUUACUGGAGACAAAGGAAGCGAAACUUUCAUGUGUCUCCCACAUCUUCUCGUACCGGAAUCCCCGAGCCCUUCUCUCACGACUUCCCUGCGAAGGUUCAGUCGUCUUGAGAAGAAUCGGGCAAUGAUCUGACUUAGCGGCAGUGAGAUGGAAAAGAGUGGCAAAAGGGAACCUGGACCACCAUUCUGUGGAAGCUAGCGCCCGAUCCAGCUGAACCCUUGUAAAAGAACCUCCACGAACCCUCUUCUCAAAAGUCCAUGCAUUGCCAUUAAAACCAAGAUCACACAGGCCACACAGAUCCACAGCAUCACGAAAGCCUCUAAUCUGUUCAGAGCUACGUUCACCAACACCAAAGUGUUCAUCUUGAUGUAAAACUUCAUUGAAAUCACCAAUGCAUACCCAUGGCAGACUGGACUCACUCCUAAGGAAACGAAGCAAGUCCCAAGUCUUGUGUCUCUCACGGACAGAAGCUUUCCCAUAAAUGCAAGUGAGACGCCAUGGCUCGUCAUCCCCUCUGCGAACAAUAACAUCAAUAUGAUACUGCGAAUGGUGAAUUAACUCCAUUGAAAAAUCAUUGUUCCAAUACAAAGCUAGACCUCCACUCUGACCAUUACUACUAACAGCAAGACUACUACUAAAACCCAAAGUAAAAGCAAGAUUAUUAGCCCUCGCGCUUGUCACUUGUGUUUCCUGCAGACAGAGCACCGAAGGGGCAAAACAACGCACCAAAGUGCGUAGCUCGCGAACUGUCGCGUUGUUGCCAAUCCCACGACAGUUCCAACUCAAAAUACUCAUUGCUCCCGACGGUCCCCCUCCACAGAGGCUGCCGAUCCAUCAAUACUAGAUUGCGCCUUUGAGGGAGGCGAUCCCUGUCGUAUCUUCUUGUUUGCUUUAGGCUUCACAUAAUGUGGCGGUGGAGGUGGCACAUCCUGAACCCCCUUAGUUUCAGACGAAGCUGGUAUCUCCACAGACAUGGUAUUAUCUGGGUUUCUCGUCUCGUCGGCAUCCACUCCCAUAUCAAGCUUCUUACGUGCGGACUCAGAACCAACUGGCUCAACUGGCAUGUCAGUCUUGGCGGGGCUCGACGCAGUGUCCGUCAAGUCUUCCUCCUUGUCAAGAUCAGCAUCAUCUAACGACCUUUUCUUAGCACCCAUGCCUCUGCCUCUGCCUCCCUGGCUGCGGCCACCACCCCGCCGGCCGAAGAAAGGCGCUCUGGCCAAAAAAGACAAGCUCGUGGGUGCAGCCCGUCGCUUGGCCAGCAUCCACUUGCCAUAUUGCACCGCGCUCUCGUCAUUUAUCCCAGUGCCACACUCAUCCCGGGUGUGGCCAAGAAGACCACAUAUUUCACAGAACAUGCCCAUCUUUUCAUACUUGAUGUCAAGUAGCAUCCGCUCUUUACCAAUUGCCAGCGGCACCACCCGGAUCAGCGGAUUGCCAACAUCAAUGCUUGCACGAACACGCACAUAAUCUCCUUCAUAUGCCUUUAUUGGGUUCAGCUCGACGCUUUGCAUGCGCCCGAUCCUGCGGGCAAGUUGGUCCACCAACGCUAGGAUGCGGUAGAGUUCCGGGAUCUUGUGGAUCUGCACCCAAACCGCGGUUCGAUUCAAGGGAAUCGAAGACAAAUCUGCGUUGCCGUCGUAAUCUUCUAGCACCACCACCAUCCUGCGGAAGAGCCACGGGCCCUGCUGUGUCACUUUCUUCCAAUCCCCAAGGCAGAAGAGCUUGAACAAGAAGAGAUUAUCAUUAACCUCCUGAGGCUCGAAAUCCAUAGCAAGUCCCCAGAUGAAUCUCAUGGUAUCGUAAAACGCAGUCGCAGUGAAAGGUCUCAUGGUGUUCACCCUCGCCAGAACUAGCCAUUGGGGCUCUUUCUCUAACUUCUCAAUCACCUCCACGCCGAUCUGCACUUCGUCAAGCUCAGCAUCCCUUAGAACCAGGUUGUUCAUGGCGCUUGCCAGAGCCGCCCCAUCCUUGUCUUUCCCUGACGAGGAAGCAGAAGAAGCCAUCGAAAAAAAGUUCACCGAAUAGUAUCGAUCCACCCGAAAUUCUAGUUCCACCUGCUAGUCGAUUCCAAGGCCGGGCAGACGAACAAGUCGUCCCCUUUAUCAGCCCAAGAACAACUGCAAGCAAUCCCCAAGAGAAUUGGAGAAGAAAGUAGAAGCUGAAUCGACACCGGAGGUGAAGCCGCCGGCGAAGUAGGAAACCCUAGUUGCCUAGGUUAGAAGUCGCCGAGAUCUCCCUAGGCCAGUUGGAGCUAGAUGAACCAAGUCAGAACCAUCACUGCUACGAAACGGUUUAUAUGCAACGGCACAUCAGUAACGGGUCCGGCGCGACCGUUACUGAUGAACAACAUCAGUGUCGGUCGCGGCCGCGACCGUUACUGAUGAACACAACGGGCUCUGCCCGUCCCCGCCCAGCCAUACAUCAGUGGCGGUCGCGCGAGGCGACCGCCACUGAUGAACCAUUAUAGCUCGCGAGUUACAUCAGUGGCGGUCGGCUAAGAGGCGAGAGCAGGCAUCUAUCGUGUCUCAAGAGAUGUCGCGAGAAUAUGCAGUGCAAGCCGUCCAUCAAUUGGUGUCGGCACUGGCCAAAGACCACCCCGCCCUUGACGCCAUACUCAGGGGAGGAGUGUAAGGUUUGAGGAACCUCCUUCCUCCUCUUCCCCGGGGAAGAGCACCCCGCUGAAGAGCAGCGCCGCCUCCGACACACGUAUGGAGGACGAAGACACCUACACCCCAGGUUACAGCCCGGCUCCUAGCAUGAACAACCCCCUCCCUAGCCAACCUUCCCCAAGCGAGGGCAUCCGGGAUAACGAUCCGGGUCCGAGCGACAACAUCUUUGUAAGCAAUCUUUUCAAACUCUUUUUCACUCCUUACCUUCAUGAAUAAAGAUCUUACACACAUAUGCCUUCUUCUUGUUACGCGCAGGCACCAGUGAAGUGUCGUAUCCACGUUGACAAGCCUGGGAAGCCUGUAGGUGCCAUUGGCCGCCUGAUGCCCAGACAAUCACCGCCACUGGUGCACGGCAUUCUCAUGAACGACGCACAAGUGAGUGUGAUGGUGGACUCCGUCGUCGAGGAGCAUCGGGAUUAUGCUAUCCCGCUACCUCCGGAGGAAGGCGUGGAUAUCCUAGGCGGUUGUCCAAACUACUGCAUUAUGUGGCCGAGGAGCUUGGUAUCUUUCUACAACCAGCGCCGGCCCUCUAUGACUCUAUCUCUCUCCGCCCACAAAGGUACUUCUCAUUCGCCGCUCGGCUUUUCCCCUAGGAUACUUCCUCCUGUCGAUGUCGGCGGAGAUGAAGAGAGGGCAAUGUCGAUGCCUGCACAGCUCAAAGAUAGUCAGACCACAGGGUCGGCACAGGCUAGAAGCGUCCCUCCCACCUUCUCUCUCUUGGGUACCGCUGAGUCCAUGGGUGGCCGCAAGAUCGAUGACAAGUACAAGGCAGAGGAGCAGAAGGCAUGGGACAGUAAGAGGAAGCAUAAAAAGAGGGGGCGCGGCGGCAAGACCAUCAAGGAGUGCUCCAAUGUCACUCAAGAUGAGAUGCACCAUGUGCCUGACAUAACUGGAGUCUGGGAUGACAAUAGGCCUGACAUUCUCAUCAAGAACCCAUAUCAAGACCAGAGAUUCGAAGACGGAUUCUAUUUCGUGGCUAGGGAGUUCGACCGGGUGCUUCUUUACUAUCCUUGAAGACCGAUGGUCACCGAAGAUUCCCUGCGUGUCGUGUCCAGAGAGAUGCAAGAGCUUCAUCAGUUCUACAUGCAAGCAUCAGCUGGUUCUCAACAGCAUGCCCAACAGAUCAAUGUUAGAAUCCCAAAAGACUAUGGAUUCUUUGACCAAGAAAUCGGGAAGAUUCAGGAACGUCCUAUCACCUUUGGUGUGGAGUUCAACGAACUGUUCCACCUCUUCAACCGCCAAAAGCUUGAUAUCAACCUCUUAAGGCUGUGGUCUGUCUACCAAAUAAGAGAACUGCGGCGAUUGGAGGUAAAAAAAAGUAGCCAUUCUAGACCCCGCGAUGUUCAACUACGGUGACAUCGGUCUUGAGCCAGAAAAAGAUGCCUCAAGAACCAUGACAUCUAAAUACUUGGUGGCAUGUCUCGAGAAAUACGCGGACCACGACUUCAUCCUCUUCUUCCUUAAUUUGGAGUAAGUUCAAUUUUAUAUAUGGAACCGUUUGUUUUUUCUAAUUCAGUCUUUCUUAUACACCCUUAGAUACUAAAGUUUGUUUCUUUUGAAAACAGAGACCAUUGCGUAACACUACUCAUUUGUUUGCCUUGGUCCGCAGUGUACUACUUCGAUUCACUACUUGCGAAGAAGUGUGUUCGAGGUAGGUUCUGAAAACCCAUCAAAUCACUCAUUAACAUUGCCUGGAAAGUGGCGACCAAGGGAAAACUAGCUGGUAAAGGCUAUAAAGACGAGCCUCACCACAACCACAGGUUCCCUUGCCAGUAACAGCCGUCCGACAGUGUGUUCUGUGGCUACUACUGCUGUCACAUUCUUAUGGAGAAUGCCAGCAUGUUCAAACCUGAGUGGAAGGGGUCAGUCGCGGCGAUGGAAGAUUACUGGCUGCCCCGAAUGACAAUGGGACACCGACCUAAAUGGGUCAUCUAUAACAUUCAAACGUAGUUCGCUCAUCUCAUAAAAAAUGAGGUCAUCAAGCCUAGUGGGGACUUCUUCGAACGCGUGGAACAAGUCAUGUUUAGGGUUCACCCACGACAAUAGAUUCAAGCUUGAAAUGAGAUACAUUUGUAUUCUUUAUAUGCUUUAAAUGAUGCGGCUUAUAUACAUUUGUAUGUUUUAAAUGAUGUGAUGUAAUGUGCUGUGAUGUGAUGCGGGUUUAUAUGUUUUUUUCUGUGAUGAGAUACAUUUUUCUGUGCUGUAUAUAUUAUUCUGUGUAUUUUCUGUAUAUUUUCUGUGGUUUUAAUUAUUUUUUAAAAUACCGAAAAUGUAUCAGUGUCGGUCGCUCGAUCAACAUUGAUGUGGAAACGCGACCGUUACUGAUGAUAUAUGCAUCAGUAACGGUCGGGUAGGAACGACCGCCACUGAUGUAUAUGUACAUCAGUAACGGUCGUUGCGACCGUUACUGAUGAUGGAUAUCAUCAGUAACACGAAGUUAGUAACGACGGUCCCGACCGUUACUGACGGUGUUUUUCGACCGUUACUGAUAAUCAUUUCUGUAUGCACGUCAAUGCUCUUGGAAUCCUGAUUUAAAAUGACACGCUAAUGGGCUAAUGGCCAGACAAUUAAUUAGCCCAAGCUCACGUCAAUUACGUUAGCACAUGGAUUUGGAGCCUUGGACCCCGUUCCAUGUACAGAUGCCGCAUGCAUCUCUCAACAUGCGCAUCAGCUAGGAUAUGGAAGCCAAUAUCGUAUAUGCCUGGUUAUAUGCAUGCAUUCCGGCCAUGAAACAGGAAAGAAAGGAUCGUGUGGAUCGGGAGAUCGCUGGUUUCCAAAACGGAAUGGCGGUGCGCAGAUAUCUUGGAAAGUUUUCCAUCCGUGUAGCCUGACCGCUGGCCUAUAUAAGCUGGCCACGAAAGAUAAAUCGGGGAGGGGCACCUGCAGCCGGCCAGGCCGCCAGGCCCCGGGCAGCGAGGAGGAGGCGCCCCAGGCGGUGGCAAGAGCGGCCACGCCAAGGUGAGCGGCGGCCAUGGUCCUCCGACAUGCGUAGAAAAAAGAAGAAGCGCUCAAGCUGCCUGGGGCAUCGGCCAGAGGUAAAAAGAACACGUAUACUCUCAGGUUCAAAAUACAAGCACCAAAGAACAUCCACGUACAAGAGCAAGUAGCAGCUGGAGAGGCGCUGGAUCAAGCACAGCAAGCGUGGAUGGCGUCUUUUUCCAACGGUGAGGACCAUGGUUGAUCUCUCUUCUUCUCUCUCUUUUUCUCUAUACCGUGCAUCUUCGCAUGCGGCUGGUCACCUGGUCACGGCCAGCUUGCCGAGGCUGCCACCGUGCUUUUUGUCGGCCUGCUUCUGGAUCCUCGUCCAGAUGGUGGCCGUUGGGCCGAUGGGACUGCCAACGUGCAGCCCGCUGGCUUUGACGUUGGGAGAUCGCCAACACCUACGGCUGAAGAUGACGACGACGCGCGUCUAACGCUCGCUGUGACGGCAUGCAGAGGUGCCGUUGCUGCUUUGUGGCCCUAAUGGGCCGUGACAUCACCGAUGCCUGACCGCUUCGCUUGGCUGCGAGGUCGCCUCCUCAGGUGGCCCUUCGACCCCACGAGCUGCGACGCCGACGCCGACGCCGAGGCUACUAAUAGACAGUCUUCCGGCAUGUUCUUCAGCACACCUACGGGACUUGGUAAAUCCUUACUGCUGUGCAUCACCCUGUCUUGCUAUCAAACAACUCCUGCCGGUAGGACUUCGGUGGAUGCUCGACGGGGGUGCCCCUCCAUCAUCUCGAUGAUGCUACUGAGUCGUCUCGACAUCAAAGCCAAGCCCUACCAUGCGUAUUCAUCCAACUCUGACUACAUCAUCGACACGUCACUGUCUACUCCAACAUCUACACCAACAUUGUUCCCCAGCAUCGUCCAGGCGCCGACGAGGCGAGGCUUUACUCCACCGACUAGUCCUUCUCCGAUGAGGUAACCCGUUACUUGCUUGCACUAACGAGGUGCUAGCAAGUCAUCCCGUCCGACACCGGUAAGACGGACAUUCCUAGGCUUGCCACCGACAAGGCAAGGCCACCCAUCCUGUCUAAGCCAACGGGGCUUAGACACCAUCAUCAUCGGACAACGACAAAGCCGGAGGUCUACCGCUAAGCAUCGCCGGUGCAAUGGCGUACCGCUCCACCUCUCCACUUCACCUCCACAACACCACUAUCUACGUCAAGCACAUGGGGAAGACAAGAAUUGAAGACGGCAACCAUUGCAGCAGCUUAAUCAGAGGUGUCUUGCGGCUCGAACUGCGGGAGUAAUUGAGCGGGAACUUUACGAGGUCCCGUGAACUAAGACACCACAAUCGCCCAAGUCAUAUUGGCCGUGCUGGCAGGCCACGGAUCGCACUCCCUCAAGGAAAAUUAUAAUUUGUUUCUCUAAGAUUAAUAAAAUACAUAUUUUUCUAUAUUUUAUUUGUGUAUUUAGGUACAUUGUCACGCCCUCGUUUAAUUUUUCCACCCGCGCAUGAGAAAUACUUUUUCUUCUUAACUAUUUUUCGUGUCAAACACCUUGCUGUCAGCAAAUCGGCAGAACAAUCCCUCGGAUUUAACACAGGUACUACCUCCGUUUCAUAAUUCUCGUCUCAAAUUUGUUCAAAAAUAAAUGUAUCUAUAUGUAAAAAAUGCGAUACAUGUAAUAUUUCGACAAGAAUCGUCAUAGAAGGGAGCACGUGCCAGUAGAACGGAAUCACCGAUUAAACAAAGCUAACAGCAAGACCGGAUAUUGACAUUAUUCUGUACAGUGUACACUCUGUCUGAAAUCGACAACCUCCCCACUCCCAGCUCCCUCACUCAUCGCUCUUUACUCCGCUGAGCAACCAAGCAAAGCGACGCCAACGCCGCCGGCACGCCCGAGAUCCCUCCCCGCCGCUGUCUUCCUCCACUCACUCGCGCGCGGGGGAUCAGAGACUAGAGGCCGCGUACGGACGGGGUCGGCGCCGGCCGCCAUGGGGUCGGUGUCGCUGAAGCUGCCGGCGACCCGGCGCCGUCACGGGCGCGUGCUCGCCUGCCUCUGUUCCCCGGCGCCGCUCAACCUCCUCAUGCUCCUCUCCCUCGUCUCCACCAACCUCCUCGCCCUCCUCGCCUUCUUCUCCACCCCCGGCGUCCCCCCCACCACCCAAACCCCAUCCUCCUCCGACCUCUCCGCCCACGUCGCCGCCAUCGCGCGCGAGAUCGGCACCGGCGCCUCCUCCUCCUCCAGCACCCCCCUCCCGGCCGACCUGCCCCCGGAGCUUCUCCUCUUCCUCACCCCACACGCGCUCCCGCUCGGCCGCGACGCGCGCUCGGGGCUCACCCACAUGCCGGCCUCCGUCGGCUCCGUCUGCCUCAGAUCCCCUUCCGCUCUCUCCCUCCUCUCCCAAUUCAUGUCCUACGCGCCCCAUGCCGCCUGCCCCCUCAACGCCACCGCCGCCACCCUCCCCCGCCGUCUCGUCUCCAAGGGCUGCGAGCCGCUCCCCCGCCGCCGCUGCCUCACCCGCCGCCGCGCCCCCUCCUCCUCCUCCUCCACCUCCGGCCUCGACCCCCGCCGCUGGGUCACCCCCUCGCGGAGCAACAGCAACCCCCACGAGUUCCUCAUCGACGACGUCAUCAAACUAACCAAGAUCCGGAUCGGCCUCGACGUCUCCGUCUCCGGCGGCGCCGCCGACUUCGCGUCCCGGAUGAAGGAGCGCAACGGGGCCACCGUCGUCACCUCCGUGCUCGAGCCGGCGACGAGCGAGCUCGUGGCGGCCAGGGGCCUGUUCCCGCUGCUGCUGUCCCCGGCGCACCGGCUGCCCUUCUACGACGGGGUGUUCGACCUCGUGCACGCCGCCGGCGCCGCGGCCCUGGACGGCGCCGGCGCGCCCGCGAUGGGGCUGGCGGGGACGCCCGAGGCGCUCGAGUUCUUCUUGUUCGACGUUGACCGCGUGCUGCGCGUCGGCGGGCUGCUCUGGAUAGACAGCUACCCGUGCCAGAGCGACGAAAGGAGGCGGGUUGUCAUCAAGCUCAUUGACAGGUUUGGGUACAAGAAGCUCAAGUGGGUUGUCGGAGAGAAGCCCAGCGGCGGCGGUGGCGCAAAGGCGUCCGUCUACCUCUCCGCCGUGUUGCGGAAGCCGGCGAGGGUCUGAUGAUGAGAGCCUGGAACUGUAUGGAAGGAUUGAUUUGCUUGCUCCUGGCUCCCUUGAUCAUCGAAGGUACGAACGAAUGUACCUUCCAAUUGUUUGUAGUUCAAAGAAUUUUGAUGAGAGGAAUGUAGUGCAUUUUAGCUGCCACCGAUUAUUUUUAGACAAUGGAAGAAAGAAACAGGUGCUACGGAUUAGCUUGAUUCCGUUGGUUGUUCAGAGAUAGUAACUGCAAGCAAAAAUGUACAACCUCCUUUUCUACUUCUAUUUUGUACUACUAGGCUGCCAUAGAUGGGAAAAGAUGCUGUAGGAUUUGGUGCUCUUCUGUGCAGUUGCAAGGAGGCUGGCAAAUGUUGUGAUCUUGCUAAUUCAGGAUGAAAAGGAAGUUUUUUUUUCCUAGAAUACUGGAUGAAAAGGAAGUCAGAUGAUGCUCUUGGAGCUACUUGUUGAUCAAAUGGUCCCUCUGUCUGAAUCCUACCAUUGGUACCAGUCUGUUGUGGAGCUCCUUUCAGUGGUCUGUUCGAUUGAUAGGCUGCCAAAUGAUGUGAUCUUUCGUUUUGGGUGGAAUGGAAAAUUAAAUGACGCUCUUCUAGCUGCCUACAUUGAUGUGAGGACCUCCUUUUGAUCAAUUAAUCUCCAUCUUCAUCUAGCAUAGAAAAAACUGUAUAAGAAAAACACUCCAACAGUUGUUCCUCUGAUUUCUGCCAAAAUUACAGACAUCUUAUGGAUGAGGCUUGAUUAUUAACAAAUUUAUAAAGCAAAAAAUGUUCCAGCAUACUUAUGUGUCACACAGAAAAAAAAACUUCUUGUGUUUCCCCCCUUUGACAAUCUGGUCUAUACUUUCUACUUUUCUUGAGUGCUUCUAAAUAUUAUUUUCGUUUUUAAAAUUUUUGGGCUCCAAGAGCCGGAGCUCCAAACCACCGCGCGUCAAACAAGAUUUACUUUCUUACACUACUAUUUUACAGACAGAUACGAAACGAUUUCUUUAAUCUUACCAGUUAAUACAGACAUGUUUUCAGAAACGAUAAGAGUGUACUAUAUCCCUUGAAAGGGAAACAUAGUGUGCGAAUAAACGCAGUCGGACAAUUCAAGACAGAAAGAUUAGAGUAAACAUAGUGUGCGGACAAGAUUCACUUUCUUACUCUAUUUACAAACAGUUAAGAGGAAACAUCGCCAGCCAUAUUUUUGAAAGAUUACACUCCCUCACUCUAAUGACUAAGGACUUCAAUAAUACUCCAACACUGUAAUUUAGAGUAAUAGAUACUUUCACCGUUUCAUAAUUCUUGUCGAAAUCUUACAUAUACCUUUUAUCCAUAAUUACAUCCAUUUUUGGCAAAUUUGAGACAAGAAUUAUGAAAUUAAACUAACUCCAUAAUUUGUCAGGUCAUAGACAUAUAACAGGAAUUUGUCGGGUCGUAGACAUAUAACAGGUGUCAUCUAUAAACUAACUCUACAUGAUUUAUCAGCAUUAAUUACGACGUUGUAGAAAGAUCAACUCUUACUCGAUUGCCUGAUCUGACUAAGUCAAGACACUGUUUGCAAACACUUGCUUUUUUGGGUGUACAAACACUUAAGCUGCGGUGUAAAGAAAAUCAGUCAUGCAAAACAGCUAAGCUCAAAAUUAUAAACGACGAGCAAAAGAGUACACAUUGAAACUAAUGAAACGAGAGUACAUAAACAAUUCUCAGCUCUUCAUGCUAGACAGGACCAUUUCGAGGGGGGAAACAACCAUCCAUUUUGUCCGCAAGCAUAAGAUAUAAACUCCAAACAGCUAACAGUAUCAAGAGAACAAAAAAAGUUCUUAAGGUAGAUUUGCUCUAAGCAGCGGCACCCUUGCCCUUCUUCUUCUGAAGCUUCUUCAUGUAAAACUCCAGCUCCUUACCCUCAAGGAUGUAGCUGUAAUCAGGUAUCACAAGUUAAAACUUUGUAGCAGCCCAAAAUGAUACAUAACUAGCACAUUGAAUUAAAAUAAAGGUAUAACACAAAAAACAGGCAAAAACAAUACUUAAACCAGUUAGUGCAGGAGGACAACAAAAUACAGAGGCCAACCAUGAACAAAAUAUCAGCAAACUAAAAUAUUAAAUCACAUUACAUCAUAAAACAUAAUAAAUUACUAGCCAAUUUUACUUUCCGUCCAUUUUUAUACAGCAGUUUCAGUUACUCGUUGCAAGAACUUAUAAAUCAUAAAAUUAACUACAAAACUAUUUUUCAUGGCAUAAACUAUUUUUCUAUAUAUAUUAAAGUUUGAAUGCAUGCUAGGACUUAUUUACAUCAUCAAGAUAAGCAUCUCUUGAAGACAAAUGUAAACAUCUUUUUCACAGUCCAAUCUAAAACAUUAUCAAUAUAUAGAAUAGAAUAUAAGGCGUCCAAUAUUCUUACCCGUCAGCCCGUCCACACUGCCCAGGGCGGGACGAAAUGCAAGCCAACAACCUUCCGCUGCUAAAUUGUUCUUCAAUGUGGGGGUCUAGUGUGCGACCCUGUUGGCGUUUCUCCAGCUUCCUCUGGACAUUGUUGCUUUUCUUGGCUUCCUCUGCAGCCGCAGCAGCAGGAGCAGCAGCAUCACCAUCCUGCCAAUGUGUAUAACAAGAGUGAAGGAUCAACUGUUAUAUCCGACAGUCAAAGCAUAAGAAAACAUACUUCAAGGCAGUCAGUUUAUGAAAUUCCAAUAACAUGAAUCAACAAACUAGAUAGCAAGUAACACUAUGUGCAGUUAACACAUGCAUAUAUACAGCAAACAGAAGACACUUUAACAUGGAAAACAUAUCAGUAACAUUUUUUUACGCCCACCAUAAAUCAAAUAUAUAGUAAUUCACAAAGAAUAGGAAAAACACCCAAUGAACACUUUAAUCAAAUGGAUCCGCAACCCCAAGGUUAAAUCAGACAUUAAAAUAGAUGCUAACAAGUUCACAACCAAGUAAUUAUUACCAUCCAUUUAAAACUACAUAAAGUCCAUAAGCAAAAUGGGAUAGUGGUUGUUUUCAGAGACAUUUAAGUUGAGCAAUACACAUUUAAAAACACAAGAUUGUGGUAGUGGUAGAUAAACAAGAAAAUAGUAUGAUGUUCCUCAGCUAAGAUAUGAUGCAAAUAACAAACAUAUUACAAUGAUAAUAGGAGCAACACAAUAAACAGAAAGGAAUCUACCUCAGUAGCAUCCUUCUUGGUAGCAGCAGGAGUCUUCUUCUUCCUACCAAUAUCCACUCCAUAGUGAGUGAGGUACCACUGCUUGAAGGGGGCAGCAUCAACUUGCACAAUGGCAUUUUUCACAAGUGUCUGGGUCCUGACAAGCUCAUUGUUGGAAGAGUUGUAAACCACAUCGAGGAGACGAGUCUUGCGGGUCACAGCCUCACUUCCCCAGGAGUAGUUGCCAGUAUCCAAACGGAGAGCCCUCCACUUGACAUUGCCUCCACGGACACGCACCCUCCUCACUGUCUUGUUGCUUGACAGCUUGGUGUUAGCAGGCUGGCGACCGAGCUCAUACCUUCAGGGCAAAAGACAGUGUUAAACUAACACCUACAGAACGAAAGAAAUAACACAAUUAUGGCAGCAAUAGGCUGUGGUUCUACAGAUGUCUCCACAUACGUGUAUAUAAGGAUGUAACAUAUUUCAAUUUCCCUUAUAACACGCAUUGCUUACAGCAAGGUGCAAGGACCAUAAGGACCAAAAUCUACAACACCUACCGCAGUUAGCUUGGCGAGAAAAAGCAAAGUCAUGUGCCCUACACACCGAAACGCAGCUCAUCCUUCAUAUAAAACUUGUGUAUUACGCUAUCAUCAAACAGAAUGGUCAUCUCAAACAACAUCCGCAGCUAAACAACGGUACAGAAAUCUGUAACCAUACUAGAUUCACUUCUUGCAACGGAAGACCGAUUAUGCAAGAGGCUAUGGCUUCGCGUCCUAGCCUAAGCUUACUGAUGGGUGAAUCACGACUCACUUAAAUUUUACACACUAGCGAGAUCCAAAUCUCGUGUUUCAUACAUAGACCUACUACAACAUAUAUAGACAUCUUGAUCAAUCUUGGUGUUGGUAACAUAUAUAGAAAGAAAACAAGCAUCCAGUGGAAAAGAUCUGGAGGUUGGUUGGUCACUCACUUUCGCUUCUUCCUCCAGGCCUUCUGCUUGCCGCCAGUGGCGCGGCGCUUGUGCAUCGAGUCACGCGAGAUACCUGCGGCAUCGAACCAGCAAUCGCCAUUAGCGGGGGAGCACGAAGAGGGGGAGGAGGAUAAUAAUCAUGCGAGGUAACAGGGAGCUUACCCAUGGUGGCGGCGGCUUAGGGUUCCCUCCUCUCCUGUCCCUGCUUUGUGGCUGCGCCGCCGGUUGCUCUGCCUCGCAAAAGGUGCUGCCUCGCUAAGCGGUUGUGAUUUUAUAGGUGCCUCCACGGGCUUAGGGUUUAGACUUUAGAGCCCACGUGAUGCAUCAGGGUGUAAACGGGCCGUUCGUGAGGAGACGAAUCGGAGGGAAGGGCUGUUAUGUGCUUCACUCGGCCCACUAGGACUGCGAUUGCCACCCUUGAGGCCUUGAACCAAUUUGAGCCCAGCUUGUGGCCGUGGGAUGACCGGAUGAGGCACAAAUAUGGUUUGGGAUGUUGCUCAGUAGUCAGAACUGCUAUUGCCACCCUGUUCUUAAAAAAAAAAAAAGCAGCUAUUGCCAAUGCCACCCUUGCUCCCUUAUUAUUCACCAGCUUCAACGUAUGUUUCAUUUUCAAUAGCAAUACGCAAAUAAUCUUUCAGCUGUGUCCCCUCUUAGAGAUUUCUUAAUUUUAUUCAAACAAAUUACUACAUCCGAUACAUAAUAAGUGUCGGUGAUUUAGUACAAAGUUAGUACUAUGGAUCAGAGAGAGUACAAAGUUACUAUAUCCGAUCCAUAAUAAGCGUGAGGUUUGGGACUACCUAAGGAGAAACGGCAAGAAGCAAGUAUGAACUUCUGAACGGCGGGUUAUGUACAAAAUUAUUUUGGAACUUUAAACUAUCCAGAAACCAGAUGUGCCAAAUUUUUAUUUUGAGAAUACAUGUGCGCCAAUUACUGAGUACGGACUAUAUAGCAGGAGCAGCAUAAUAUUAUGAUUUAUGUGUUUUCCUGUACAUGCGAUGAUGCAAACUGUCUACCUAAAAAAAAUGAAGGGCAGGAUGACAGCAUCAGCAGCUUCCACAGACCUAUCUUGGUGAUUUUGUCAUAGAAGGAAUAUUGAAUAAUCCAUGUUUUUCCCUAGAUAGCACUACUGCCACCGUGUUUACUGUCAUGUAUGUUUUCGAAUUUUAACCCGACCAGUGGAUACCUGAUCGAGUACAUACAGAGUUCUUUUUUUGUAGAUGUACAGAUCGAUUACUGCAAUGGUCUUCUUUGUUUCUGCAAGCAGUGAAAUUUCUUCAGAGUGCUUUGCAGCAAUUGUUAUUUAUUCUAAAUAUGUUAAUUUAAAUUAUUUCUAUGCACUAAAACUUGUCCAUCUUUGACUACUGAUUUAUAAAAGAUUAUUGUCACUGCUCAAGUAAAAAAAAACAGUAUUACGUUAGAUUUUUCAUUAAAAAAAGUAUUAUGUUAGUUUUGUCAUUAAAAAACCUGUCUAUCUUUGAGUACUAGUAUAAUCUUCAUGGAUCAUUUUGGUCAAGAGGAGCCCACAUAGAACAUGAAAGAGCCAUAUUCAAACACAGAAUACCAACCAAACAAAGUCAAUUACCAACUCGCUUAACUUUUAUUUUUAGAAUAACUUAGAACCAAGAUCCUUCCUUGACUACAUUAAACCCUCAAGAACACUAGAGACUAGACUACGAGGCCGUCGAUGGCUCCGGCAUAGACCGAGCGAACAUCAACGUAGGUGAAGAAGCGCGCGAUCAAGGCCAGGAGCACGUCGGCGGUGAGCAGGCUAUCGGACCCGGCAUUGUGGGCGCGGCCCGCGGCCCUCUCCACGCCGAGCGCCCCGGCCACCUGCUCGAGCCCGCCCCUUAUCCCACAUGUCCUGGCAAUGUACUUGACGUCGAGCACCCACGGCCCAAACAGCCGGCCCACGAGCCCCUUGAACCCGUCGAGCGUCUCCGGCAGCCGGCGCCCGCGGCGGAGCACCUUGGCCAGGUACGCGAAGUCGUACGCCCCCGAGAAGGCCACCCACGACAGCCCCGGCAUGCGAGCGAAGCCCGAUCGGUUGAACUCGUCAGCGAAGGCCCGCGGGUCGAUCCCGUGGGCCUUGAGCCGGCCGAAGUCCAGCCCGUGGGCCUCGAGCAUGGCGAUGGAGGCCGGCGAGUGCGGGUCGCCGCGGGCCGGGUCGAAGCCGCGGAAGUUGAACUGCCAGACGACGGGGAGGGCCCGUCCCCCGGCGCCCACGAGGGCCAGGCCCAGCUGCAGCAGGUGGCGGAGCUCGUCGGCGUUGCGGCGGACGAGCGCGUAGCUCUCGUGGGCGGACCGCAGGUGGCGCGGCGUGGCUGGGUCGUCGUGGAUCGUGCCCGGGAACUCCGUGUCGAGACAGAUCACCGGGUAGUUGGGCAGCAGGGCGGCGAUUUGGGCCAGGGAUUCCCGGAGGUUGUGCUUCCAGACCUCCCGGAUCUCGAUCGUCGGGGAAGAUAAUGACGCCGCCGCCUGGAGCUGGAUCGCGGCGGUGAGCUUCUGCUGAUGGUGCUGGUGCUUUGCUGACGCGGGGAGAGGGAGCGGCUGGUGGUAGGCGGCCGGCGGCGGGUGCAUGUGGACGGGGAGGCGGAUUGGGGCGCGGCGGCGUUGGUGGAGAUCGGAGUCGAAGCGGGGGGAGUUCUGGUGGUGCGUGGACGGGCGGCGGAGGAGGAGAGGGCCGCCGUCGCCGGAGAAGGAAGGCAUGGCGGCGGAAAUUAAACGCGAUUUCUGCUAUAUCUUGUCGCUCGGCGGUGUUUGUUUUCUGGUCUCUCUCGCGAACGUCGGUGGGGAGAAGUGCUCGAGGCGUGCGGCAUUUAUAGACGAGAGAGGGCGGCCGGGUUUGGGGCGGUUCGAGUCGGAUUUGGAUCAGGACACGAACAUGACUCGGUCGGUCGGUCGGUGGGUGCUGCUGCGCGCUCGAGUCGGAGUCGGAUUCGAACCGCCGCGUACGUACGUCGAUCGUCCAAGGUUCUGCUGGCCUUUGGAUAGGGCCUGCAAAACUUAUUCGCGUUUCUUUCCUUUUCUUUUCCAAUAGGAGUAGAAAGCGGCCAUGUGAUUCACAUGAUCGAAACGGCAGUAAUAAUAGGAUAGGAAGAUAUGCAUCAGAAGCUUACUGAAAAUUAAGCCUCGCUGAUUAAUUACUGUAGGAAAUUUAUGGCUUUGUAACUAAAUAGACCAUACAAAAUCAAGCUCUCAUCUGUAGAUAAUAACAUAAACCAUCUUAAAGGCUAAUCCAAUGCAAAUGCAUGCAUAUAAAAUCUCCAUGAUACUUUCUGAAUGUUUUCUUCACCAGACAUAGCAAUUCAAGCAUAUGUAAGUUAGGGCGUGACUAACUAGGGAAGAAAAUGUCACUAAACAUGUACUACUAAUGAACUCGGUUAUAUAUAUAGAACCGCCCCAGAAGUUACAGCAAGUUCAUAAAUGACAAAUCUUCUCAAAUUCCUUCUGACGCAGUGCACAAUGCAGCUAAUAGCCGGCCUAGAUCACACAAGGAAAACAAAGAAUAUAACAGCUGCGGUAUCUCGCCAAAAAAUAUAACUUGUAUACAGUUGCCAAACUACUAAUAAAUGUAUCCUCACCAGACAUCAGUCGCUUGCGUUAUCAAUUGACGACGGUAAAUUGAUAUGACUGUUGAAUUUGAGAAAAACAGGUAUCAGAGUAGCCACAAGAAAUACAACCAGAACCUACGCAGGACGGACAAGGCGAUGUCCAGAACAAGAGAUAAAGAAAGAGAAGGAGAGCCUAGUUCCAGUUACUGCUCUUCAGUUGCAGCGUCAUUGGAUCCAUCGUCAGGGUUGACAAGCUUGUCUUGGGCAACAUCUUCAUGAACAUCUUGCAACAGGCUGAAAGGGAUUUUAGGUGGCAGCAUCAGCACUCCCAGCUGCUCGUCAGUGGGAAGACUGCAACAAUUGCUGGAGUUGCACCGAGGUGGAAGUUGCUUCUCAGAUUGGACUGAGCGAGUGCCUUGUGCUGUCACGGGUUCAGAUCUGAUCCCAUCUCCAGCUUGCUUGGUCCUGCGGCUUGCUCGACUCAUGUUAUGCAUCACACUUGGGUGGAAUUAGUCCUUUAUUUAUCAUGUCUGUAAACAAUAAUGAAAAGCGAUCGGUAGAACUUUGGGAAGCUUUCUUCUGUUGUAACUCAGCAAAAACUCUGUGUGCUUCACAGAGUUUUCCAGCCUUACCAAAUUCAGUUAUGACAUUUUCAACAGUCUGCGCAUUAGGCACUAUUUCUCUGUCCAUCAUCACAUGGAGCAACUUCUCAGUUUCCUGCAGCCUUCCACGUUUGCAGAAGCCACGAACCAACGUGCUGAACAAAGAAACAUGUGCAUAUCCCCGAUUGAACAUUUCCUCUGUUAGGAACAGAGCCUGUUCUAGGUCUGCAGCAUCUGAGCAACCCGUAGCAAGUACAUUAUAGACAAACGCAUCUGGAGCAAUUCCUCUAUCAAGCAUAUCUUUAUACAGAUCAAAAGCAUCAGUGAUAUCGCCGUUUUUGCAGUUUCCAUCUAUCAAAGCUGUGUACGUCACACAAUUUGGGAGUAAUCCCUUGGCUAAUAUGCUAUCAAAGACAUUACGAGCACGGGAAAUAUCACCAGACCUGCAAAAUCCAUCGAUUAGGGCAUUGUAGCAUACAAUCCCAGGCUCUAGUCCUUCUUUAGCCAUCUCAUCAAGAAGACCAACAGCUUUCUCCAUGUCAGCCAUCUUGCAAAGACCAGAUAUCAAUGAACUAUAUAUAUGCAAAUCAGGAACCAAUCCGUUCUUCUCAACCUCCGUUAGAACCAUAAAAGCCACUUCCAUGUUUUCAGACCUGGACAAAUUGCGAAUCACAAUUCCAUAGAUGUGGUUAUCUGGCUUAUCUCCACUGCCCAACAUAGACUGAAGAAUAGAGGACACCUUUUCAUGGUCAUUUGACUUGAAGUACCCUUCUAGGAGGUCGGUGUAGGUGUCAGCAUUUGGUUUUAGUCCACUGUUAAGCAUCUGCUGUAGCAACUGAUCAGCUUUUUCCAGAUUUCUGGUCUUACAAUAGCCAUGAAUGAGACCGCUGUAUGUAAAUUCAUCUGGCACUAAUCCUCUCUUCUGCACUUGCGCAUAGUACUCUUCAGCUUCCUCUAUCCUUCCCACAGUAGAUAGUCCCUUUAUAAGAGAAUUGUAGCAAAACAAAUCAGGGAGUACAUUCGCCUUGGUCAUGUUUUCAAGAGAUUCACAUGCCAAUGAGAUAUGACCUUCUUUGGAGUGCCCUAUGAUCAGAGGUGCAUACAUAAAAGCAUUUGGCUUGAGACCUUCUGAAAUCAUUUCCUCGAGGAGGUUGCCUGCUUCCUUUGAUUCACCGUUUUGGCAUAACCCAUUAAUCAUUAUGCCGUAAGUAUAUGCAUUAGGCAAAAUGCCACUAUUCCUCAUUUCAUUAAGAAGCUCAAAAGCACCGUCCUUGUCAUAAUGUUGAAAAUGCCCCUGCAUGAGAGGAUGGUAAGUAAAAGUAUCAGGCCUAUGACCAACUUUGAUCAUCUCGUUCAGUAGCUUAGAAGCCCUGCCCAGCUGCCCGAUCUUACAAAGGCCACGGAUGAGAUUGUCAUACAUGAUCUUGUUGGGCUGCACGCCAGCAGAUAUCAUCUCAUUUAAAAUGUCAAACGCCUCGGCUGCCUUGCCCUCCUUCAUAAACCCAUCAACCAGAGUCGCAUAAACAACAACAUUAGGCUUCAACCCGGAACAAGACAUCUCGUCCAAUAGCGCCUUAGCCUCUUUCAACCUACCCCCUUUGCACAGACCGUUCAUGAGCGCGCCGUAAGUAAAAGCAUCCGGAGACAGACCGUAGUCCACCAUCUCCUCCUUGAACCCAAACGCCUCUUCAACAGCACCAGACCUGCACAACCCGCUAAUCAUCACAUUGUAUGUCACUUCAUUCAUGGCACAGUCCCUCCGACGCAUUUCCUCAAACACCUUCUUGGCAGCAUCAAAAUCCCGCGCUUUGCAGUGCGCCUCGAGGAAAGUCGAGUACGUAUACACGUCCGGCGGGAUCCCCGCGCCCUCCAUGAAUCCUUUCAGCUUCCAGACCAGCUCCAUGGCGUCCGCUCGCAGAAGGUCCUUCAAGAGGCCGUUGCAGCAGCGCCGCGUAGGGGCCAAGCCGAGAUCUCCCAUCAUCAGGACGACCUGGGCUGCAGUACGGACGCUCCCGUUCUUCUUGUAAGUGUCCACGAGCACGUCGAGCACGGCCGUCGAGUGCGAGGGCGAGGGCGACGGCGAGCGGGCAUCAGAAUCCUGGAUCGCGCGUUGGAUGGAGGCGAGGACGAGGGGAGGGUGAGGGUGGGCGAGAAUCAUCUGGUGGAGUAGUCCAUUGGCCUGCGGAAAGUGGGAGGCGGCGCAGAGGGAUGCCGCGAGGCGGGCGAAGGCAUCGGCGGAGGGCGGCGCGAUGCGCGGGCGGGACCAGUAGAAGAAGUCGAGGAGGAGCUUGGGGUGGAGGCUGUGGCUGCGGCGGCAGAUGAGGCACGACACGGCGUCGGGGGAGAGGCGGGAAGGUAUGUCGGAGGCGGCGAUGGCGAGCUUCCAGUCGCCGGCGCAGCGCGAGAGGAGGGUGGCCACCUCUGCGGCCACAGCGUCGGGGUCCUCCGGGGUGGAGGAGGAGGAAGAAGAAGCAUUACUUGCGCUGGUUGUGAAGGGGGCGGGAGGCGGCGGGAUUGGGAGGAGGAGGCGCGCUGCGGCGGAAGCGGCCCGGCGGCGAGCGUGCGCGGCGGAGAGCAUAGGAUUUAGUGGGGAUCAGAGAGGGGGAGGGCUUCGUUGGUCAAAAGCCUCGAGAGCUUCAGACUUCGUAAAGAAUACUUGUAUUACUGAAUCAUAUCGUCUAGUUUGGUUACAACAACUUAAGGAUUCAUGGACAAGACGAGCAACGAGGAGGAGGAAGAACCAACACACGCUAUAAGCCACGCCUCGGCCGAAGCCGCCCUCAAGUCCGUUCCUAGCCAACCUCCUUGUUGCCGAGAUCUCUACAUUUAUAUUGCGGCUCGUGCUUUCAUACCAGGUCAUAUCCCAUAAAUGAUAUAGCCCACUGUGCAGUCCAGCCGGAAGGAUGAAGGUCGCUGACAAUCCUACCCCCUUGAAAUUCGGUUUGUUCUCAAGGCGACGUCCUGUCAAGCCGCCCCGGGUCUAAGGCCUUUGUAUUGCAGCGAAGUAAGGAAUUGCAGAUGCUGUUCUUGACGAGUUUCAUCUUCCAGUAUUGUAGAGAGUGGCUGCCUAGACUUGCUGUCACCAGAACACAAGUUGAGGGACUAUGCAAUCUUCCACUGGAUAAUCUCAAAGUCACACUUAAUAACAGGUGCUUGUGUCAGCAGCUUUUGUUCAUCGGGCCCAAGCAUCAUCGGUGUGUCACCAGUAGCUCUCACCAAAGUUACAUCAUAUGGAAACAACUCUCACGAAGGCCCGAGCUUCGAUUGCACAUAGGAAUAGGCUUCAGUUCUACUGCUCGGCAGAAAAAGUAGUGGAAGAAGAAAUAACCAUGCAAUCUCCCAUUGCAUAAGUUAUGAACCAUAUCAAAUAAUGUGACCAGCGAGGUUGCAGCUAACAAAGGUGUGCAAGAAACCGUCAAGUUCUAGCUCCAUCUCAAAAGAGUGCCAACUAUAACCAAGUUCAGAACCACUUUGAAUAGCUUGGUCCACACUGGAUAUUGCACCAAUCCAUGAGCUCAUUUCUGUGGAAUUUUCAAUAAUCUGAACCUUUGUGAAAUGUGACCAUACUAUCAGCAUUCCAAUAAGCAAAACACCCAGCAUGAUAUGAUGAGCCUUGAGGAUGCCACAAGUGAAAUUUUCAUGUAGUUGGGUUGGUUGUAUGGACAAGUAUAGAAUAGUAGCAAACUGAAAUUUCAGGCCAUUUGAUGCUGACUGUACUGAUACGCAGCAAACAAGGACUAGGAAAAACAGAGCUGAAGUCAAUUCCUCCCUUGAGUCAAGUAGCUUAUACCUGCUGAUGAGACUCUCACCACUUCCCAAAUCUGAAUAUGCACAAGACAGUGCCACUACCAACCAUGCAAUUUCCCACGAAACAUAUAGAAAACCAAAAUGUGCAGCACCUGUUGUCAGUAGCCCAGAGAGUCCAUGGGGUUGUGGAAAUAAACAACACACACUUCUGAUGUGAUGUCCUCAGAUACGAAGUUAUGAUGGCUUCCUGUUCAAUUGGCAUCAUGUAAAUCAAUGAGCACAUCUCAAAGGGCCACUGCUCCAGUAUGUUCCUUGCUUCACAUAACUGAAUGUAAUGCAUAUUAGUGAGUACCCUUGUCUUGGUUGAGGCAAAGCCAUGACAAUUGCUGCAGACAGCUGAAUACUCCAAUGAAAAGAACCAUGCGAUUGCCCACUAAAAAUCUUCACAGGCAACUAAUCCAAGAUAUUGCUCAGGUAUGUGCUUGAGCCGAACCCACCUAAUUGAAUCCAACUGAACAAAACAUUGCAAUUGUUGGUCACAGAAAUAUAACUCCCAAGCAGAGCACGGCUUUUGUUUGAAUAUAGCAGUCACUGAAUUCUGCAACGUGUUAACCGUCAGGAACACAGAACAAUUGGAAUAGUGAAUUUUGUACUUAUGCUCAACAAGUGCUAGCUAUCCCGGGUCCCAUGAUGAUCCCAAGCAUUCAUCACAAAAUAAUAAUGAUGAUGACUCUCUGCUAACAGUGCCAAUUAUAGCAAACAAUCGAGUUCUAUUUCCAUGCAGGCAACCACCCAGAUUCCAAGGAAACAAGGACUGAUUAGAAUCAAAUAUCAUACCAUCCAGUGAUGAACUUGCAACAGCUUGUUGCUGCGGACUUUGAAGUGGUCGCCACGGUUGUACUUGAUACACAUUGCCAAAGAAGCAACCAAGUGACGGCCCUGGAGGCUUCAGCUGCAAGCCAUCAUUAAUUUCAGAGUCUGGUGCCACACACAUGGAGAGUACUCGAGAGAUCGACAAGUCCACCACUGGAGUUGCCAUGGUCGCUAUGCAGUUUGUUCUGGCGGUUGGUGAAAAUAGGAUCAACUGCGAGACCAAGUUGUCCUUGUCCGAAGCCCUGAUAUAGGAUGCGGCGACAGGGGAGCCUCCCUUAUGCACCACACAUACAGCCAAGCAGUCACUACUACAAAAACGGUUAUCAGUAACGGUCAAAAAAGCAUAUCAGUAACUGGCAGGCCGCCCGUCACUAACUUCCUGUCACUGAUGUGUUUAGCAUUAGUGACGGGCGGCCUGCCCGUUAGCGAUGUAUAACACAUUAGUGGCGGGCAAAACAUGACCGACAUUGAUGUUGUUUUUGGGAAAAUAAAAAAAAUAUAGAAAUGGCCCUCCCGGCCCUCACGUUCCAUGAUCGCAAAUCAUAUAUCGAAUCCCUAAUCCUCACGCCGGCGGCCGAAUACCAUUCCAUUCAAUUAAAAAAAUAGGCCACAUGCCUCAUUCCUCAAAUCACAAAUCAAACAAAUUAAUCAAAUGUUACAACAAAUCGAACUAAUCGCCACCGGUGCUCUUCCAUGCGUCGCCGCCGGUGCUCCAGGCCGUCCGUGCUGCUGCUCCUCCACAUGCGGGGGUGAACGACGGCGCCGGAGCCGGUGCCGACGAGGGAAAGGGCCUGCAGUAGAGUGAGAGAAAGGGACCUUAUGAGCGAGAGAGAGAGAUCCGAGAUGAGAUAGAGGGAGAGAAAGGGGCCUUAUGAGAGAGAGAGAUCCGAGAGAAGAGAUAGAGGGAAAGACGAACCGUGAUGUGAGAAGGGAGGGUUCGGGCGGCUCGACGGGGCGCAUGCAACAGGCGGCCAUCGGCGGUUAAGGCCGGAUCCGGCCGGUGCUGGGCCGAGGGACGCCGGAUCCGACCGCUGGGCGCUGGCGGUUGGAGGCGGGGCAUGGAUCCGACGGCGCCGGUGAAGGCCUCCAAGCACCACCGUUCCAUGGUCCUUCGGGGCCGUUGCUGCAGGAGCUUGACGGUGGGGGACGCGCGCGGGAGGAGAGGAGAGGCCAGAUCCACGACGGGGAGGUGGAGAUCGAGUGGGGGAGGCGCUCGGGCCUCGGGGAGGGGAGGCGCUCGGUGGAAGAGCAGAAGAGAGGGAGAGGAGAAAAGAGGGCUCGGUGGAGGGAGAAGGGCAGGAAGAGAGAAAGGGAGAGGGUGGCGGCUGGGAGGUGGAGAAAUAAGGUGGGGGUUAGGGUUAGUUGCUUUUUAUAGCAAUGUGGUGAGUUGGGCACUUGGGCAGUUGGGCCUGAAUAUGGAUUGGCCCAGAGCAGCAUCAGUGGCGGGCCUGGCCAAAAGAACCGCCACUGAUGGACUAAAUAUGAUUUUUUUGCAUUUUGAAAAAUAAAAUAAAAUAAAGCCAAACAUUUGUAAACAUCUUUCACAAUAUUGUUCAACUUUGUUUGGAAAUUGGAUAGGUAUCAUUUGGAGCCAUAUUAAGUAUACUUGCUUCACAAAAUAUCCCAUUUUUUGCAUUUGGAAAAUGAAAAAUCAUUUUUUAUAACCAAAAAAUUGUAAACCUCUUUGGAAAUAUUGUUUGUCGUGAAAAGAAUCACAUUUGUGCAAAAGCCGGGUACAUUAUCAUGAACUAUGGCAUAGAAAUGGACAAAACUUUGAUCAUUUGGCUUAAAAACCUAAAGUUCAACUAUGGGAAAUAACAAGAUCAUACUACAUAGGUCAUUUUUCAAAUGUUACCAUCUGUUGUUAUUUUUCCAUUAUGUUAAUCAAUAAAAAAUAAGACUUCAGAAAAAAGAAUCACAUUUUUCUGAUUUUUUCAAUCUUCAAAUGUUUCCAGGGCUCAUCAGUGGCGAGCCUAGAUUUCAGGCCCGCCACUGAUGUGUGUUUUUGUGAAUUUUGUUAUUUUUCACAUCGAACCAUUAGUCACGGGCCUCCCGCACCCGUUACUGAUGAGUGGUCAUGAGUGACGGGCUCUGCGGGCCCGUUACUGAUGAGUGGUCAUCAAUGACGGGCAUACCACACCCGUCACUGAUAAGGGGUCAUCAGUGACGGGUGAGCACGCGACCGUCACUGAUGACCACUCAUUAAUGACGGGUGUGGUAUGGCCGUUACUGAUGAUAGUCAUCAGUGACGGACGCAAAAGGUCCGUCACUGAUGACUCGUCACAUAUACACUGUUUUGUUGUAGUGAGUGAGCCGGUGUUAUGAGAUUGAAGUUGGUGGUGCCUAUGUUGUGGCUGGCAUCGAGUACAGUGGAGGGCGCCACAGAGGUGACAGAGCUGGGGUCAUCUUCGUCGACCUCGUGCAUCACGGCCACUGUGAGAUCGGCAGCCAUCGACGUUGCGUUGUACGGUGGUGCGCGGACCAAGGAGUUGGAGGCCGCGAAGUGGACAUCGUCCUCACGGGCCGUCGUGGUGGCCGCUGUUGGAGUAGUCACCAUCGCCGCUGAGUCCGCCACAGCUACAAGGACGAGAGUCAGUGAAGUUGUUGGGGGAAGAUGCCGUGCCUCCAGGGCAUAUCGUCGAGCAGAUGGUGGGCGACAUGACAAUGAGGUCAUUGCCCGAUGUGGAUGUAGCAGAAGUCUUGUCCGGCGUGGAGAUGUCCGUGAGCAUGGCUGCCGAUGUGAGAUCAUCGUCACCCUCGCUGACCACGAGCACAACCGGGACGGUGGCGGACGCCUCUAGAGAGGGCUUGGAGGAAGCCGGCGUUGCCGUAGGAGACGCUGCAAUGGCUUUAGUUGCCGAUGUGGCCGAUGGCUCCACGUCCCACAAAGCUCGCCAGAUUCUCAAGGAGCAGCAACCUUCGUAGAUGCACUGGCCAUUCCACUCCUUUCGUGCUUGUGCCGCUGCUUGUCGGGAACGGAAGAGGAUUUGGGCAGCCACCGAGGUGACUCCCUUGGAUGUGAGGGGCGGAUAAACACCCAUCUGCUCCACACCAUAUGGAUCGAAGAUGUCAUGGAACAAUUCUUCACUGAUUAUGUAAAUAGCAUAGUCAACAACAAGCGCGACACCAUGAUCUAGAAGCGCUGGCUGGCUGGACAUUCUCACGAACAGAUGGUGGAUGGGGAGAAAAAUGGAAAGAGAAUUUGUGGAUUUUUGGUGGGGAUCGACUGGGAAGGGUGAUGGUUGGAUCUGAUACCAGAUGUAAGGAACCUAGUACUUGUAUUACUGAAUCAUCAUCUAGUUUGGUUACAACUCAAGGAUUCAUGGAGAAGAUGAGGAACACGAGGAGGAAGAAGAAGCAACACACGCCCUAAGCCACGCCUCGGCCGAAGCCUCGAGUCCGUUCCUAGCCAACCUCCUUGUUGCCGAGAUCCCUGUAUUUGUAUUGUGGCUCGUGCUUUGAUACCAGGCCCUAGACCAUGAACGAUAUGGCCCACUGUGCAGCCCAGCCGGAAGGAUGAAGGUCGCUGACAGACUUUAGUCGAACAAGCCCACGAGCUAACGGGUCUUCUUUAGCCCGCCUUCCGCUGAAGGACUUUUCAGUUAGGCCAACCCAAUAGGAAUGUACUACUCCACGACAUUCCAAUAGAUGAUGUCAUGACCUAAAAAAAACCUAUAGAUGAUGUCAGUGAUUUAUAUUUUCUUCUUGAAGUUUUUAUUAUUUUUUCAUUAGAGACAUUUCUGCUUUGUUGUUUUAUACGACGAUCAAUUUUCUUUUCAUGUUGACUGAGAUUUGCAACCAGAAAAAAGAACACUCCCUCUGAUCCUAAAUUGUUAUCGAAAUAUUAUAUGUAUCUAGACGUUUUUUAAGAAUAGAUAUAUUCAUAUUUGGACAAAUUUGAGUCAAAAAAUUUAAGAUAAGAGGCAGUGCCACAUAACCAAGGGCAUGGACGUUCCGAGGUGUGCACAACCGCAUUCGUUCCGUGUAAAAGUACGACACAAAGUAAGUAUUGUGGCCAGGAAAAGAAUACCAUUGAAGAAACAUGACAUUUUCACAAAUUCAUUAGGAAGAUUGUGUACAGGGAUACAACAACGACCACUCACACAGUACAGUGACACACAUAGUGCAAUUUAAAGCGUAGGCAGUAACAAAGGGAAACGAUACAAGAAACAAAGAGCCGACGGACGGACGGACGGACCGAUGAUGCGCACCUACGACGGGAGUGAUCGGCGAUGGCAUCGAUCGUCUUAAAUUUGUUUCCAACUCUCACAAACCACUCAAUCUAGUGUAUGGGGAAAUAAUCAAAGGAGGAAAUUUAGCUGCAGGGAAAGAGGAUCGGUUAGAUCUGCCUGUAUCUGCAUGCCCCUACUUCUUCUUCCCCAAAAGGUUCUUCAGGGCAUCGUCGGCGAUGUGGUUAUCAGCGACGUCCACAUCGACGUCGAUAGGGGCUUUGACUGAGGUGUCUACAACGUCGGCGUUGACAAGGGCGCCGGCGGAGUCGACCACCGACCAGGAGGCCGCCACCAGCAGCAUCACCAGCACUGCACCCAUCAUCAUCGUCGCCGGCUUCGUCGCUGCACCUGCACGGGCCAUCGAUGGAUCGAGCAACCCGUACUAGCUCAAUUGGCUAGCUGAUCUCGAUCGAUCAAUGCAAGACGUAUGCGCACGAUCACUCAACUAUCAGGUGCUGCUGGAUCAGUUUGUAUGUGUGAUGCUCUUGCUCUCGCUCUGCCCUUUUUACAGGGCCAUGGACAUGGACAUCCGCCCAAGUAAUUAAUUACUCCCUCCGAUUCUAAAUUGUUGUCGAAAUAUUACAUAUAUUUAUACGCUUUUUAAGAAUAGAUACAUCUAUAUUUGGACAAAUUUGACUCAAGAAUUUAGAAUCAGAGGCAAUGGUCUUUUUCAUAAAAAAUGACCCACACUUUUGUUCCGAUGUCAAACUUUGAUCAACAAGUAAUUGGACCACUGAUAUGUACCAGUACAUUAUUAUGUUAUGUGAAUUUUAUACUGUUAGAAAUGUUUUUUAAAUACGAGUCUAAUGAUAUAAAUUUUAUAGCACACAUAAAACUCAUAUCAUUAAUCUAACUAUUGGUCAAAGUAAAAUCUCAAAAUAUGUGCGCGUUAUAAAAAUUAGAGAGUUACUAUUGUAGCUGGCCGUCGUAUCAACGAAUACAUGGAUCAUGCAUGUGUAAGAUUGAUUGGGAUCCCCGGUCCACGCUUCCCGCGAGGCGCAUCCCACCCUAAGGGCGUGUACAAUGGGGUGAUGUCAACCUUUUCUUAGAGAUGUCAUAUAGAAUAAAAUCUGAUGUGCAAGAGAGAGAAACGAAAAAUAUUCACAAGCCUUUUCUUAAUUAAGGGCAUGUACAAUGGUUGAUAAGAUUGACUUAUCUUAGGUGUGACACGUCAAUUAGAAAAGACAACAAAACAUGUUGUACAAUGGGUUAUCUCUUAUUAUUAUAUCUUAAAAUUAAUUCUUAGACGGAUAAAAUUAACUAAAUAAAUGCUAAGAAAAGUCAAAAUCUAGUACAAUGGGAAAUUUGCCUUAUCUUUGCCUUAUCAUUCUUGUGAAGAGAUCAUCUCUUAAUUAAGAGAAGGCUUGUGUCUUUUCUUCACUUCUCUCUCUUACACGUCAGAUUUUAUCCUAUGUGGCAUCGCUAAGAAAAGUCUGACGUCACCCCAUUGUACACGUCCUAAGAGAUGAUCUCUUCACAAGAAUGAUAAAGACAAAAAUAAGACAAAUUUAUCAUUGUACUAGAUUUCACCUUUUCUUAGCAUUUAUUUAGAAUUUUAUUUAUCUAAACAUUAAAACGAAGACAGAAACACUAAGAGAUAACCCAUUGUACAACAUGUUUGUUGUCUUUUCUAAUUGACUUGGAAUGACUAAGAUAACACAGCCUUACCAACCAUUGUACAUCCCCUAAUCCAUCCCACCACGCCGCAGAGAUUCUCUGCAGAUCAACUGAUUAAUCUCCUCCCGCAAAAAAAAAAUUGAUUAAUCAAUAAUCCCACGCUUCCCCACGAGCCGGAUCAAUCGGUUCAAUUAAAACCAUCAGGAUCAUGAUCCCGGAUUCCAAGCUACCGCCAGCACCCGGGGGAUUCGGAUUUUGGACAUGACGAGACGUGCUACCAGACCACUGAUCUUGCUUCUUCUUUUUGGCAACAGCUUGCACAUCCUGAUACCUGGGUGCUUAGCUAGUAGCUACUACCCCUUGAUUCGGAUUACAGUACUUCUUUUGCUUCCUCCAUUCUUUUUGUAAACUCAAGUGGAGUGGUGCCAGGCAAUUACACCCCUAAUCCAACUAUUAGUCCAACUUAUUAUAAAUUGUGGUGGGCUAGUCUUAAUAGUUGAGAGGUGUGAGCAAAAAUGUUCAAUCUGUUCGAAUUGAGACGUGGCACCAUCUCGGAUGUCCGUCAGGCCCGUGGUAAAUUUAGCAAAAGACCCCCACCCCCUCCUCCGACUAUGGAACAAUUAGCGUCAAAAGUGAAAGAUCGGUAUGGUCGACUAAGUGGGGUGGGGUGAAUAGGAGACUAACAAAUUUUUCUUUUUCUUUUUCUUUUCUUUAAAGAUACAAACACUUAAUCCUAGGGUUUACUAGAUUCUCUAAAGUGAAUGCAACUCUAGAAUGAAAUGCAAUAGCUGAAGCAACAAUAGAUAGCAAGAAUGUAAAGGGGAAAAUAUACCACAUGUGGAGACGAAGAUUUCACCGGAGUUCCACCUAUUGGGAUCGGUGUACGUCUCCGUUUGGACGAGUGCUCUACCACAAAGGUAGAGACGCCACGAAAGCUCACUCUAUUCUCCAACUCACCACACCAAAAAGGUGGGAUGAGCUCUCACAACACCACAAAGGUGAGGUGAGUUCCACUAAUGGCUUCCUUGAGGGCGAACGCCGAACCCUUACAAAGUUGACCGGGGCAAACUCCACAACUCAAUCGGAGGCUCUCAAUUCAAGCCCCGAGCUCCUCAAUCACCAAGAAAUAGCUCGAGGUGACCGCUUCCAUCUAGGAUUCCCAACAACCCAAGAGAUACGAAAUCCACAAAGAAAACAAGGGGAAUCAACUUUUUGACUUGGUGAAACCCUAAAUCAAAAUCUUCUCCUCCAAUCCUCAAAGAAUCAAGAGUUAUGAGUGGCUAGGGAGGGAGAUUUUUGAGAUUUAAGCUUGAGGUGUUCUUGGGGUGAGAGUUGUGUUCUUGGCUGCUUGCUUGCUCAGUUGGCUCGUUGGGGACGAAGGGAUAUAUAAGUGGGUUCUCAAAAAUCGAGCUGUUAGGCACUGGUCAGGAUAGGCCGGAUCUUCCGCUGGAUAGUCGGAACUUCCGGCUGACCGGAAGUUCCGAAUAUUCACCGGAAGUUCCGCAUAUUCCCUCGGGAAUAACAGAGAGCACCCGGAACUUCCGCCGCCUGUGAACCAGAAAUGCCAGAACAACACACUGAAAAAUGUUUUCUUCUCACACCUUAUUGGGUAGGCUUUUUAGUGGGUGCAAUUUGGUGUAGAUGUGUACGUGAAAUUGAUUCACUUGUUACCUUCGCUUGUGGAUCCCCUCUUAAUAGUACGGAUGUCCUACGACUCAAAUCAACCGAAAAAGCCGCUAACACCACUACGCUUCUUUCCUUUUUGAGGGUCCACAAUUCAUCUUGUGCUGAGUUCUUUAUAAACCCCGAAAUGCUUAGCACAAGAUUAGAUAACAAACCAUGUUGUCAUCACCACCAAAACCAUUUAGGAGAGAAAUGCCCUUUCAAAAAGCCUUUGAUUUCUUUGUCUUCCCGAAACGGUUCAUCUCCCCCGACUCCACCGACCAUGUCCUGACGCUUAGAGCAGUCCAUAGGCAAUCGGUGAACCUCGUCGGAGGCAAUCCGCCACGAUGCCGCCAGACUCGCAUCUCUAGAUGGGACGAGGGAUAAACACCAAAAUCGAAGCCAACACGCUUACCGUAUUGCGGUGAUCCCUCAUCCCAUCUACGGAGGUGCGGGUCCGGCGACAUCGUCGCAAAUCACCUCCGACGAGGUUCACCGACCGUCCGCGGAGUGCUCUGGGCGCCAAUACACAGUCGAGGGAAGACGAAGGAAUCGUUUUUUUUGCGCUAAUUAUUCUAGAGUCGGGAUCUUCUUGCUAAAUUGCCACGGGCCCGACGAACGUCCCAGAUUGUGCCACGUCUCAAUUCGGACUAGAUUGGAACUUUUUGCUCAUACCUCUCAACUAUAAGGACUAGUCUACCACUCUACCCCAUUUUACAAGAAGUUGGACUAAUUUGCUCUCACCUCUCAAGUAGUUGGACAACGAGUGUAUUUACCUCUUUAUUAUUUAUGAAUAUGGGAGUGUCUAUUUCUCAGUCGAUUUAGAAAUAUCUCCGUCCCAUGUGAAGUGACUCAAAUUUAUCCAAAUAUGGAUGUAUCUAUACCCAAAAAGCGUCUUGCAUGGCCGGCGAGCGGUGAUCAGAAUCCUGGAUCACGCGUUGGAUGGAGGGGAGGACGAGGGGAGGGUGAGGGUGGGCGAGAAUCAUCUGGUGGAGUAGGCCAUUGGCCUGCGGAAAGUGGGAGGCGGUGCAGAGGGAUGCCGCGAGGCGGGUGAAGGCAUCGGCGGAGGGCGGCGCGAUGCGCGGCCGGGACCAGUAGAAGAAGUCGAGUAGGAGCUCGGACUGGAGGCUGUGGCUGCGGCGGCAGAUGAGGGGCGAUACGACGUUGGGGGAGAGGCGGGAAGGUAUGUCGGAGGCGGCAAUAGCGAGCUUCCAGUCGUCGGUGCAGCGGGAGAGGAGGGUGGCCACCUCUGCGGCCACGGCGUCGGGGUCCUCCAGGGUCGAGGAUGAAGAAGAAGCAUUAUUAGCGUUGUGGUGUUGUCGGAACACGGGUAUCCGGCACCGGGGAUGCCGAGCACCCCCUUUUUGGUUCGGUGGAGGGCGAGACGAUCGCUCCGGCGAUCGCCGGCGUGACGAUAAACACGAAGUGUUGACACGCGAAUUUACCCAGGUUCGGGCCACCCGAAGGUGUAACGCCCUAUGUCCUGCUUUUUGUUAUAUUGAAGAUUACGUAUGUGGCUUACAAAGUGUCCCGGAGUUCCCUGGGAGCUAAUUGGCGAUGACUCUAACUAGGGCUCAAACUAAGACUGAUCGGAACCCCUUGACCCGUGGCAUCGGUCCUCUUUUUAUAGACAAGGUUAUUCCACAGGUGCCAACGCAUGCAGCUUGACACGUCUCCUAGACGCGUGUCACAUCCACAUGAAACACAUUCCCGCUGAUCCAUGCUGGACGCCAUGCCGCGCCCAGUCCAGUGUACAAGGUAGAAAAAAUGGUUCGUAUAGUAGACGCCCUAGCCUUGCUAAGCAAGCUACGCCUGCUGAUAAGACUCUUUUCGGUGCAUUAAAUGCACUGCGCCCGCCGUCUUGUCCUGUUUUCACUGUUCUGAGGGCCCCGCCUGCAUGCCCGAGCGUGGGUUGCUGGCUACCCCUGCCCGGCUAGCGCGCCCGGCCAGCUGCCCGGGAGGCGUUUCUUCCACUUCCCGGGAUCGGGGUUCUCAGGAGCUUCUUCUAUUCCGGCCCUUAGCUUUGCCUUCACCAAGGACCGUCUCCUUGAGGCAGGCUUUCCGGACUCAUCGCUUCCCGGGAGGCCUUCCUGACGGGGCUUCGUCACUGGCAAUCCACGCGUCCCGUAUCAGUGGGACCCCGUGGGCCACUGGUACGACAGUAGCCCCCGGGCGUGGGCCGGCAGCCUUGAAGCUCCCGACAAAUGCUAUCCUCGGUCGGCUGCCGAGCUACACCCUAUCCGACGAGUGGGUCCCAAGGGGAGUCCCCCUGGCACCCGGCCUUGUGGGCCGCAUUUACAAUUCCCCUCCUCCGAGCGAAACGGUCGGGCGCACGUUUUCGUGCCUUAUCCCCCUUAAUCACCAGAGAGUUAAGGCCACGUCGCACACCCCCCUCUUAAUCCCCGAUUCUUUAGGGCACUUUGCUGCUGAUCGUGGGGGUGUCCGUUGCAGCCCGCCAGCCCCGAUAAAUACCCGAGGCUGGCGGCGGGCACUCGCCAUUGCCUCUUGCUCCUACCAUUGCCUCCUCCCAAGCUCUCCGCGCCCCAACUCCAACCAAAUCGCCUCCCCACCUCCGCCGAUGUCUUCCAAGGGCCAGAACCAUCCCAAGUGGAGCACCAGCAAAGGGGAAAAGCGCGAGAAGGUGAGCAAGAAGGAGCUGUCGGACCGAGCCCGAAAGGAUGAGGAAAUGCGGUCUAAGUUCGCCUUCUUCCUCCCGGGUACAACGGCGAGGGGGUAGACAAGCUGGUCUUGGCGCUCGCCACCAAGCACAACGAGUACGGGCCGACGUGGAUUCUCCUCGUCGGCGCGGAGCGCGACCUACGGUACAUCCGGAUCUUCGGGAGAUUCAUCCUAGCUGGGUUCGUGCCGCCGCACUCUUUUUUCCUUUUCGCCAUCAUGGAGGCCUACGGGCUCAUCAUGGCAAAACUUCACCCCACAUCGUUCUUCACAUUGGCUGUCUUCCAACACCUUUGUGAAGCGUUCGUGGGGGUGAUGCCAUCGGUGGUUCUAUUUCGACACUACUACUACCCGAGGGUGGAGGCGAAGGCUCCCCUGUCCUUGGGAGUGGUGUUCCGGUUCCGCGACAGGAUCAAGUCGGAGUUCAUCCAGCUUGGGAAGAAGAAGAUCGAGCACGAGUGGUGCCGCGACUGGUGCUGGGUGCGCACCGAUGAGCUCCAGGAGUUUCACGAGGAGCCCCUCGGGCCCCCGAAGGGCUCUGAUGACUGGACGCUCCGUGACCAGAAGGACGAGGAGCUGGCCCCAAUCUGUGCCAAGAUCAAGGCGCUCCGCGAGGCCGGACUCAUGGACACGGAUGUGGCGCGCCACUUUAUCGGGUACUGCGUGGCUCCCCUGCAGCAGCGCUCACAUCCAGCAUGGAUGUACACCGGGCCCGGUGACCGGACUCGGCUGCAACACACUGACCUCCUGCCGGAAGAAGUGCAAUUCUGGGUGAAGGGCAUCACCUGCGAGGACGAAGCUUACCGGCUGCCGCCGCUUGGAGCGCACCCACUCCACGCCGAGAUCUCGAACCCGGGAGCCCGGGAUCUCCCACUCUGCGACGAGUGGGGGAUCGUGGAGGACCCCUCGGCGCAACCCUCGCCCCCCGCAGGGGCAAGGAGCCGGCUGCCGACUCGGGGAAGGGGGGCCAAGGCCAAGCCUCCGCUAGGCCAGAGGACUCAGACUCCGACUACUCCUCGCUGGGCGUCGGAGGAGACCUCAGCGACGAUGACGACGACGACACUCCCCGGCAGCCAGCGGGGUCGUGCUGGUGGAGGAAGACGACGUCCCCCUGGUGAGCCGGUCUUCGGUGGAGCGGGCGAGCAGGCAGGAGGCCAGCCCGCAGCCUCAGGAGCCUCACGACGACGUGGGGGCUGAGGCCUCCGGCGGCAGCGAUGCGGCUACAACAGCCGCUCCGACUACCCCGGCGGCCCCGCCAGUCCCACCCGCGCGGAGCGGCUCCCUGGCGAGGAGCAUCCUGGCGGACAGGGUGCUCAAGCUCAAACCGGCGGGGUGAGCUAAACGUUGUCCAGAACACUUUAGAUUUCGUGAAUUUUUUUACAUGCCUGACUAACUUGCUUUUGCGUUUUUUCCAGUUCUUCGAGGAAGAGGGGGCAGACCAGCACGUCACCGGCAGCCCCGACCAAGAAGCCCCACCCGGCAUCGGGCGGUGGCGACCGAGAUGCCGCUGACGCGGCUGUUGUGACGGCGGCAGCUGCCGCUGGGGACUCGAGGGUCCUCGAUUCGAGCUCGCAGGGCACCGGCCUAGCGGCAAGUACGUGCAAGUUCCAACAUUUCUUUUACCCAUCUGCGCCAUCUCCCAUACUUGACGCAGGUGCUCUUCGUGCAGUUGCCGAGGAUGCUUCGGCUGCGCCCGUGCUCACCGAGGUGCGGGCAAUCGACCUCACCAGCGAGGUCGACGACGAUGCUCCGGCGGAGGUUGCCUCCGUCGGAGCCCUUCAGGAAUUGGCCACGGCACUUGCCGCAGGCGACGCCACGCAGGGGGCGCCAUCUGUGACAGGUGACACGGAGCAGCCUCCGCCAGCCGGAGCAGGCGGCGGUGCUCUGGAGAAGCCCCCGAGACCCCAGCCCGCCCCUUUGGAUGGGCAAGGAGCAGCAGGGCUUGGCCAGGCCGGGGGUGCAUCGUCAAAUCCUGACGCGCCCUCGGGAUCACAGACGGUUGCGGCGGGGUACUCCUCCUCCGCCGGAGCUGCCUUCAGCCCGGGAGCAGGGGAGCUCGCCGGGCGGUCAUGGGGUCGGAUUACUUUCGACCCCAGCGUGUUCGACAACAUCCAGCAGUAGCAGCGGAUGUUCGUUGAUUUCUUCAACGACACGCAGCAGCACCACACCCGCGUGGUAGCGGAACUGGGCACAGCGCGACGGGAGGCGGAGGAGCAGCACACCGAGCUACAGCGGCUCCGGUGGGAGCACCAGCAGGCGCGGCAAGCCGGGGCGACGCCUGCUGUGCAAGGGGUGCCGGAGGCUGAAGUCCUCUAGCAGUUGUGGGAUCUCCAGCAAGAGCACCAGCGGGAGCUUGAGCUGGUGAAGGCCACGCACGCCAAGAGCGAGGAGGAGCACCAGGCGGCUCUUGACUCGUUCCAGGGGCGUCUACGGAAGAAGACGGACUUACUGUCCAACUACUCUCUAGAGAUCCAGCGCCUUUGCCGCGAGGUCGGAGAGCUGGAGACGGCGGCUGCAAUAGCAGCCGAAGCCUUGGCGCGCCGGGAGAAGGAGCUGCAGGACCAGACUCACAGGUCUUGUCCUAAUUGCUCGGCGUUGGCUAGUGCUGUCGGCCAGUAAAAGCCAUGCCGGAAUGCUUUCCCAGCAACGAUGGUGCGAGCAUGUGCCUCGAUGUAUAUCCUCCAGCAACGUGCGUCCUUCUUCCUAGGGCACGCAGAGGAGCAUGACUCCGUUAAGAUGCCUCCGGUAGAGUUCCCCAUCCACCAUUUUGGCUUGCUGGGCUACUCACUCCACGGCAACGUCUUUCUCCGGGAGGGUCCCGUCCCUGAGGUAACGAAUAAUAUCCGUCCCCCAGGGCGGUCGUUCCCGGCUAGUGCAUGCCACAAGCUUGGUGGCAUGGUCCCCCGCAGCUGCGGGGUCUCCUUGAGUCGCCGGAGGGGCUUCCCCAGCAACCGCCUUGGGGUCGACAGAGGGCUUUGACUGCCUCUGCACGAACACCCCAGGAGGCACCUUGCUGUGUUCCGCUGCCCAUUUGGACCGUUCAUCCACAACAAAGUUGUCUUUGUGCUUCACGUGCUCAAACCGAAGUCCCCUGAACCUGGACUCCAAUUUUUGCACUUCCUCUACGUAAGCUGCCAUCUGGGGGUAGUCGUAGUCCUUAUUUACCUAGUUGAUCACGAGUUGGGAGUCCCUAUGAACAACCAAGCGCUUGAUGUUGAGGGCGAUCGCCGCGCGCAGCCUGGCAAGCAGCCCCUCGUACUCUACUGUGUUGUUGGUGGAGUUGGCGAAGUUGAGCUGUAUUACGAACUUGAGCUGAUCUCCAGUGGGCGACUCGAUCACCAUUCCGGCACCAGUGCCCUGCAAGCAGAAGGCGUCGUCGAAGUACAUGACCCAGUACCCUUCAUCCAAUAUUCCGGGAAGGCUCGCUUCCGGCUCUUCUUCCUCUAUGCCCGUCGAUGUCCACUCCACGACAAAGUCAGCGAGAGCGGUGCUCUUGAUGCUCUUGGUGUUUGCGAAACGCAGCCCGAACUCUGCCAGCUCCAUCCUCCACUCGACCACCCUCCCGAUGGCUUCACGGUUGGUGAGGGCCUGCUCUAGGCAGAACCUCGACACCACUGUGAUGCUGUGCGCCUGAAAGUAAUGGCGCAAUUUCCUUGAAGCGAGCAGGAUCCCAAGCAGAAGCUUCUGGACCUGCGGGUACCGUACCCGGGCAUCGCGCAGCACCGUGCUAACACAGUACACGGGAUGUUGCACUAGCCGCUUGCGGGGGGCAGCCUGCAUGGGAUGUCCCUCGGGUUCAGGGGCAGAGGUGGUAGCAGGAGGUUCCUUCAGCUCGUCGGGAGCCCCCAACCCUUCCGUCUCAGCCCCCGGGACUUGCUCUUCCCUCUCGGCAACGAGCACGGAGCUCACUACCUGGUCCGUCGCUGCCAGGUAUAGCAGCAACGGCUCGCCCCGCUUGGGGGCGACGAGGACCGGCGGCGACUUCAGGUACUGCUUCAAGUCCUGGAAAGCUGCUUCCGCCUCGGGAGUCUAAUUGAUUGGACCCUUCUUCUUCAUUACCUUGAAGAAAGGCAGGGCUCACUUGCCCAGCCUUGAGAUGAAAUGCCCAAGCGUCGCAACACACCCGUUGAGGUGUUGGACAUCUCUAACCUAGCGGGGUGCCUCCAUCUUCUCGAUCGCCUCGAUCUUCUGUGGGUUGGCUUCGAUUCCCCUGUGAGAGACCAGGAAGCCCAGCAAGUGCCCCGAGUCCACACCAAACAUGCACUUCUCGGGGUUAAGCUUGAGCUUGAUCCUGCGGAGGUUGUUGAACGUCUCUUGCAGGUCGCCGACAAGCGAGUCCCUACGCUGCGACUUGACGACGAUAUCGUCCAUGUAGGCCUCGAUAUUCCGGCCUAGGUGGGGGCCCAGACACUCGCGCAGGGAGCGCUGAAAUGUCGAGCCCGCGUUCUUCAGCCCGAAAGGCAUGCACGUGUAACAGUAGCAGCUAACCAGGGUGAUAAACGUUGUUUUCUACUCCUCUUCGACGGCCAUCUUAAUCUGAGAAUCUACUAUUUGAUCAAUUCGGGGUACAGAGAAGGGGUCCUUAGGACAUGCACGAUUAAGAUCAGUAAAAUCUACGCACAUGCGCAAUUUAUUUCCAGCCUUAGGGACUACAACAGGGUUUGCUAACCAAGUGGGGUACAACACUUCCCUGAUCGCCCCGGCGUUCUUGAGCUUCUCCACUUCCUGCUGCAUGAAGUCUUUGCGUUCCUGUGCUUGCCGGCGAACCUUCUGCUUGAUGGGCCACGCGUCUAGCCGCACCGCCAGCGGAUGCUCGAUCACCUCCCCUGGGACUCCGGGAAGAUCUGACGACUCCCAAGCAAACACGUCAGAGUUCUCCUGGAGGAAGGCAACGAGGGCGCUUUCUUAUUUGUCGCCGAGGCUCGCACCGAUGGAGACGGUGCGUGCCUCGUUGCCGGCAUGCAGGGGCACCUUCUUGACCUUGGUGCCCUCCUCCUUCAGCUUCGCGCCCUUCUGACGCGCAGGCUGGAGCUGGAUCUGCCCCCGGCGUCCAGUCCGGGAGCGGCUUGUGCCUUCUUAUGUGCGGGUUGUUCACCCGCAAGUGGAUUCUCGUUCCCGGCAACGUCAUAGUCGUCGGGAUCCACCACUGCAGAUGUCUUCACGACCUCGCCCACGCACCAAGCAGCGUCCUUCAGGUCGCACUUGAUGGAGAGUACGCCGUAUGUUGACGGCAUCUUCAUCACACCAUAGGCGCAAUGGGUUGCCUCCAUGAACUUGAUCAGCGCUGGCUGACCAAUGAUCCUGUUGUACGGCAACGGGGUGUGAGCUACAUCAAAAACGAUGUGCUCAAUCCGGAACGCUUCCCGGGAACCGAAGGUCACCGGGAGCGUGAUUCGCCCCAUGGCCUGCACCACUCCGGGGUUGAUCCCCCGGAACGGGUCGGUGGGCUUCAUCUGCUCCAUGGGCAGCUGAAGCUUCUCCACCAGCUUGGCGGACAGCAGGUUGAGGCUUGCCCCGCUGUCCACCAGUACCUUGGUCACCGUCACAUUGUUUAUGAUCGGCGACACCAUGAGGGGGAGUACCCCUGACCCCAAGGGAUGGGCCGGGUGAUCGUCCGAGUCGAAGGUGAUCCGCACAUGCGACCACCUCAACGGCUGUUGCGCCUCCACGCUAGGGAGGAGGGCGCAGACCUCACACAUAAGCCGCUUCACGGCAGUGUGAGGCGUGAGAGCGUACGCUCCCCCGUGGAUGUAGGCGACGUCGCGAGGCUCCUGGAAGCCAGGCUCGGCGGCGGCGUCGAUGCAGUCAUCCUCGUGCUGUUCGGCGCGAGGCUUGUCGCGUCCCUGGGGAGGCUGGUCCUUGCCGCCGCGGGCUUGACCGCGACCCCCUGCGGGUUCUCCUUUGUCGCUGCCGGCUGCGCCCAGCCUGCUCCGCUGCGGGGGUUGUUCGGGCAGUCCUGGGAGAGGUGCCCGAUGUCCCCGCAGUUGAAGCAAGCCCCGGCAGCGCAGCGCUCCUCGUGGCGCUGCUCGCGCUUCUCCUUGAUGGUCUGGAGAGUACGGCAGUCAUGUGCGUCGUGGGUGGCGUUGGUGUGGAUGGGGCAGCGUGCGGCCACCGCCGGCUUGCUACCUGAGGCUCCCGCUGCCGCCGCCUUCUUGGUGGGCCUCUGGGGAGCCCCCGGCUCCGAGGCAAGCACUUGCUUCCCGCCGCGUUUCCGGGAGCCCUUCCUCCCGGAGCCCUCGGGUGGGUUUGCCGCUGCUUUGGCAGGAAGCUCGGGCACCAAGCGCCCUUCCUCGGCCAUCGCGCACUUGUGCACGAGAGAAUAGAGAUCCCUUGUAGUCCGGAUCCGGUGCAUGUUCAGCUUCUCACGCAUCUUCGGGUCGCGGAUGUUGAUGGCGUACGUGUUGAUGAUGGCAGCCGCUUCCGCCUCAGGGAUGGAGUAGGAGAGGUUGGAGAACCUGUUGGUGAAGUCCGGCAACGUCUCCCCCAGUUUCAGCACUACUAUGUGCAGUUCUGCCAUGGUUCCCGGGCGCUUGUAGCCGCCCUGGAACGCGUUCACAAACUGCUCGUGCAGGUCAGCCCAAGAGGCUAUGGACCCGACGGGCAGGUUGAGCAACCAAGUCCUCGCUGCUCCUUUGAGGACCAUCAACCAGUUGGCCCUAACUUUGUCGUCGGCACCGAUAGCGUGCAUGCCCAACGUGUAGGUCACGAGAAAGUCCUUGGAGUUCACAGUCCCGUCGUACGUCCCGAGUGUCGGCACUCGGAACUUGCGGGGCCAUGUCACCCGGCACAGCUCGCGAGUGAACGCGGCGUAGCCAUCAUCAGCACCCAUGGGAGCAUCUUCCUGUUCCUCUGGACGCGGGCGCCCUGCCUCGCGCCGGCGCCGGCGCUGCAAGCGCUAGCGGAGGUCUUCCUGCUGGCGGGCGUUCAGGACGCCUCACGCGUCACCUUGCGUGACGGUCGGUGACGAGUCCGAGUAUCCCUCGGGAUCCUCGCCUCCUUGCCCUCCCGAUGGAGGAGGGUGCUCUCCAUGCCCCGAGACGCAGGGCGCGUCUCCGCUUCCCGGGUUCUGUCCCCGGCCCGAACUGGCCGGGCCGCCCUCGCCUUGUGGCUGUUGGGCAUCGAGCGCGAGGAGCGCUUCCCGCUCCGCCCUCCACACGUCAUGCGCCGGCAUGCUUUGUGGUGGCUCGUAGUGCACCAUGACACGCACGGCAAUGAUAGCUUCCGCCGGGGUUUGGGCGGGAGGUUGCCGGUUCUCCGACCGACUGCCCUCCGCCCAGUCACCCGUGCCCUCGGAUGUGUGGGGCGAGACUCUGUUGGCGUCGCACGUGACGCGUUGUGGUCGUGGUGCAGCUGUCGCUGCGCGUCCUCAUCCCACGAGUGGACGUUGUGGUUGCUGCGCGACGUUGUGGUUGCUCGCGCGGCUGGCUCUGGCGCUAGGCGCUGCAGGCCCCCUCAGCCGGUUGUCUGCCGACGGCCGAGGAGGUGGAGGUGGCAGCUGCGACUGCUGCUGCUGUCGUGGAGGGGACCCCUGGUACCCUUGUACUUGCGACGCGCGUGCGGCGUCGUGGGAUCGAGUGCGCAUGGCGAGGGUGUCGCACAGGUCGACCCGGGGCUCGUCUGCCUUCUUGGGUGGCAUGGCGAGCUAGUCGUUGAGGAUGUCGUAGAUGAAGAAGAUGGUGUUGAAGACGAUGACUCCGGCGGUCACCCGAAGCUCUCUGCACGCCCCCCUACCUGGCGCGCUAGAAGUCGGAGCACGGAUCUCCGGCAUCGGGGAUGCCGAGCACCCCCUUUUUUGUUCGGUGGAGGGCGAGACGAUCGCUCCAGCGAUCGCCGGCGUGACGAUAGACACGAAGUGUUGACACGCGAAUUUACCCAGGUUCGGGCCACCCGGAGGCGUAAUACCCUACGUCCUGCUUUUUGUUAUAUUCGAGAUUACAUAUGUGGCUUAGGAAGUGUCCCGGGAGUUCCCGGAGAGCUACUUGGCGAUGACUCUAACUUGGGCUCAAACUAAGACUGAUCGGAACCCCUUGACCGGUGGCAUCGGUCCUCUUUUUAUAGACAAAGAGAUACCACAGGUGCCAAUGCAUGCAGUGUGACAUGUCUCCUAGAUGCGUGUCACACCCACAUGAAAGACAUUCCCGCUGAUCCAUGCUGGACGACAUGCAGCGCCCGGUCCACUGUACAAGGUAGAAAAAAUGGUUCGUAGAGUAGACGCCCUAGCCUUGCUAACCAAGCUAGGCCUGCUGAUAAGACUCUUGUCGGUGCAUUAAAUGCACUGCGCCCGCCGUCCUGUCCUGUCUUCACUGUUCUACGGGCCCGCCUGCAUGCCCGAGCGUGGGUUGCUUGGGUGCCCUUGUCCGGCUAGCGCGCCCGGCCAGCUGCCGGGGAGGCGUUUCUUCCACUUCUCGGGACCGGGGUUCCCGGGAGCUUCUUCUAUUCUGGCCCGUAGCUUUGCCUUCACCAAGGACCGUCUACUUGAGGCAGUCUUCCCGGACUCAUCGCUUCUCGGUAGGCCUUCCUGACGGGGCUUCGACACUGGCGAUCCACGCGUCCCGUAUCAGUGGAACCCCAUGGGCCACUGGUACGACAGGUGUAGGGGGCGGGAGGCGGCGGGAUUGGGAGGAGGAGGCACUGCGGCGGAAGCGGCCCGGCGAGAGCAUGGGAUUAGUGGGGAACACAGGAGGAGGGGGAGCACCCAGGUGAGGGCCUUCUUGCUCAAAAGCCUUCAGCGGAAAAGAAAGUGAAGAAAAUGUAACAUGCCCAUAAGCGGCUAAUGGGGCCAGCCUUUUGCUGAAGGAUUUUUCAGUUAGGCGCACCAAUGGAAAUGUAGCGUAUGUUUGGAUUGGUAUUAAAAUAGAUCAUGCCAAUUAUUUUGUCGUGACCAAAGUUUGUAUUGUAACAACGACAAGAAUUUAGGAGGGGGGAGUAUUUGACAUACCAUUCUCUCUUAGCCAACUCUAAUUCAAAUUUUGUUAAAAGUUGGGCAACUCAUGCACAAGCAAAACCAUGAUCAAUUAUUUGGUUAGCCAAAUUGAUAGAACAAGCAUAUGCUCAAACACAGUACUCUCUAUUCCAUAGCACAUUGCACAAGUCUGCGAGUUGAAUGAUUUAAUUUGCUGGUGUCAUCCAAUAGUUUUUAUUUCUAUUUUCUUUUUAAAAGUUUUUUUUACUUUUUUUUGUCAUCCGUGGUGUCAUCCAAUAGUGGAAUGAUUUACUCCUGUUUACUAUCACAAGUUAGCUAGUUGGGAAAGAAGCGGAAGAGCAAAGAAGAGGAACAUAGGAGAGAGACGAUAAAGAAGAAGGAAGAUGUGAAGCGCUAAGAACAUCUCCACUCGGACCCCCCCAUAUGGCAUCCAGUCUGCGAUAUUUUUGGGCCA
rnacentral:lncRNA from 1 species